CUAUAUCCAAGGUGCUACAACCCAUAUAGGACUUGUACACCUUCCUUCCUACAAGGACUAGACUAGCUGUUGGUCUUCCUAUUUUCUACUAGUAAAACUCAUUUUUUUAUAUUUUUGACUUCACCAUGGUGUUUAAAAACACCCAAUUAGCUUAGGAAUGUAAAAUGGCCUUCAAAUCUUACUCCCUUUCUUCAUAAUGGCUUUCGAAGUCGUAAAACUUAUUUUUACCAAGAUCUUAAAUAUUGUUCUAAAAAAUUAUAAAUAAAUUUUAAAUAAAUUCUGAAAAAUCCUAUAAUUUUUCUAUAAUACUAAUAUCCAUGUAAGGCUAUAUUUUCCUAACUUUGUGAUUUUUGAUAAUAAUAAAAAUCAAUUUAAAUUCACUAUAAAUCCUAUUUUUUAUAUCAAUAACUAAAAUGACAUGAGGUUCUUUCUCAUGCUUCUUCUAACUACUAACAUUUAUAAUUUUUAUAAUUAGUAUAUAAAUAUAUAAGACCAAUAUAAAUAUUUGCCUUAAUAAAUAAUCCUUAAUAUUCAUCCCAAUGUGCUGGAAAGAAUCAACGAAGAUAAUUACCUUCAAGACUUACUAAGACUCCAUGUCCACUACUAACAUUCUAAUUUUCUAUUUUUCAAAGGAUUUCUACACUACUCACUAUAUAUUGUGAUUUAAAGCAUUCUUAAGGUAUAUUUUUAUUCUAAAUCAAUAAGUGAAUCAAUUUGAUGAUUCACAUGACUCUUUAUACAUCUUCAUCAAGUGAAAAGAAAAGACUUAUUUAUAGAGAUGACCUUUAUGAAGAAGCAAAUACAGCAUGACCAACGAGUAUAUAUGGUGAUUCCAAAUCUUACAUCAGUGGUGGAAAAGACUGCCAAAGGGAUAGAAUGGGUAAAGCAAUUCAUAUAAGAAUAUCAAAAUAUCUUUCCAAAUGACCUACCUAGUGGCCUCCUUUCAAAUAGAAUUAUUGUAUAGAGCCAAAUCAACAAGUCAACCAAUUUAUUGCCUAAGACCAAAAGAACCUGAAGACUUCCAAAAGACAUUAGAUAAACUCUUAGAAAAAGACCUCAUUUGAGAAAGCACAUCACCAUGGAAGCACCUGUAUUCUUUGCAUCCAAAAAAGAUGGUGGACUUUGCCCUUGCAUCAACUAUUGAAGUCUCAAUAAGCAGACUAUUAAAAAUAUAUAUCCACUUUCAUGCAUGGAUGAUCUUCUUGACCAACUUUGAGAUGCAACCAUUUUUAGUAAAUUGGAUGUUUUAAGCAACUAUUAAAAAAUACCUAUUGUGAGAGAGGAUGUAAAAAAGACGGUAUUAUGUAUGCACUAUGGUUAUUUUUAAAUAGUUGAUUUUAUCCUUUGGCUUCACCAAUAUUCAAGCCUCUUUCAUAGGUCAGAUGAACAGAUUGUUUUAGAAACUUUUGGAUAAGUAUGUAGUUGUCUUCAUUGAUGAUAUUCUUAUAUAUAGUAAAAUUUUUGAAAAGCAGAAGCAACACUUAUGAGAAGUAUUGCAUAUUCUAUAAGAUAGUUAAUUCUAUUAUAAACAAUCAAAAUGUAAACUUUGGAAGUUAGAAGUCACUUUUUUGGGACAUAUGGUGUCCUCCAAAGGCAUGCAUAUGGAGCAAGAUAAGGUGACAGCAAUGGAAGAUUGACCAACUUCCAAAGAUGCUUUUGAAAUUUGCUCAUUUUUAGGCCUUACAUGAUACUAUUGUCGUUUUGUUUGGCAAUUUGCUCACAUUCCUAUGUCAUUGACAAACCUAUUGGAAAAAGAUACCCUAUUUGAAUUGAAACUAGAGUAGCAAAACGCCUUUGAUAAGUUGAAGGAUGCACUUAUUACUGCUCCAAUAUUGCAAUCGUAUGAUCUUAAUCUUCUUUGUAUGCUUAACAUUGAUGCUUUUAAUUUUGCCAUUGGAGUAGCCCUUCAACAAGACUUUGGUAGGAGCCUUCAAUCUAUGGCAUAUGAAUCACGUAAGCUUAGAAGGACAAAACACAAUUACUUUGUACAUGAUUGAGAGCAAUUAGCAAUUAUACAAGCUACAUAGGUGUAGCAACACUAUCUAUUGGAAAAACCAAUGGUUGUUUGGAUUAACCAUUAAUCCUUACUAUAUGAUUUAUAUUUGAAAAAUACGAAAUUGUGGCAUUAUCAUUGAGAAGAACAGUUGGAGCUUUUUGAUAUCUAACUUGAAUACAAGCAAAGGUGACAACAUACUAUAUUAGAUAACUUAUUGUGGAGACUAGACUUGAAGGAUGAAUUAGGAGACAAGGCAAAAAUCACUACCAUUAGUAAUAUCAUUUCAAACUUGAUAAAAGAAGCUGAAUAGAAAGAAGCUACAUAUUGAAAUACUUAUAUUAAAAUGGUUAGUGAUUGACUGAAGGUGGGCGAUAUAUAAUAUCAAGUUUAUAUUUUUAGUAAUGGCUUACUCUAUUUCAAGAAGUAAAUUUAUGUAUCUAACAAUACUAUACUUCAGACGCACAUAUUCUAAAAAAAACAUGAUAUUCUAAUAUCUGGAUAUCUGAGACGAGAGAAGACUCUAAAACGGAUGUCAAAGAUAUGAUUUAAGGCAGAUUUGGAUUAUGAUGUUUGAACCUUAAUACGCUCUUGCAAGUCAUAUCAAUAUAAUAAAGUAUGCAAUGUAACAUCUCUUAGAAUAUUGUAGCCAAUUUUGCUACAUAUGGCACAUUGAGAGUAGAUAAUUAUAGAUCUCAUUAUGUAUUUACCGCAAAUACUUCAUAAUCAUACCGAGGUUGCUAUCUUUGUGGAUUGACUCUCAAAGCAACUUUACUUGGCUGUAGUACAUUCGGAUAUUGAUGCUCCAAUGCUUGCAGGAGUCUUCUUUGAUACCAUCUUUUGUCACCAUAGAUUACCUCUUGUCAUCCUUUCAGAUUGGGAUCCAUGCUUCACAAGAAUUUUUUAGUAAGCCUUAUUCAAGCUACUAGAUAGACAACUUGUCAUAUCUAUAGCCUUCUAUUUUCAAACUGAUAGAUAAAUAUAGCAUACAAAUCAAACCUUAGAGAAUAUGCUGUAGGUAUUUGUAAUAGUUCAUCAUAUUGAUUGGCAUGAAUACUUGACGUCUUUUGAAUUUUCUUACAAUGAUAGUAUUUAAGUAAGUAUUGAUCAUUGAUUAUUUUUUCUUAAUAUCAGUCAACAUCUAAUUAUGCCAAGAACUCUCCAUCGUCCCAUUGACACUAAUAAUCUGUUAAUGGAGGAAUUUACACAAUCGCUUAUAAUGGCCUUACAAGAGGCAUGACACUACCUUCUUACUACACAAAAUUGACAGAGCAUUAUAUAAAUAACCAUCAACAACACAAGACCUUUUGAGAAGGUAAUCAAGUGCUACUCUCCAACGCCAACUUGCCACUUGCUAUACCAAUCCAAAUUCAUAAAUUAGUACCUCGGUGGCUUUGACCUUUCUAUAUUUUUGCAAUAAUUUUUAAUGUCAAAUACUACCUUGAGAUUUUGCUACAUAUUCGGGUCCGUUCAAUCUUUCAUGUUUUGCAAUUGAAGGAAUUUCAUACUGAGCCAAAAUAUAUUUUGGAUCGACAUCAACCACCACCGUUACCAUCAAUUGUAGUUAAUGACCAAUAAGAAUAUAAAGUGGACAGCAUUUUAGAGCAUCGCUACCUUCAUCAUGGUAGUCGACAUCUACAACUUUAAUACAAAGUUCUUUAGAAAGGUUAUCCCAUUUAUGAUGCAAAGUGGCAACCUGUACAAAAUCUCAUCCAUUACCAAGAGACAAUUUGGAGAUACCAUUAGAAAUGAAACAAAGAUGUUCCGCAUUAGUAGAAGAGGAUUAAUUGUAAUAGGAUAUAGAUAAGAUAAUUGUAUAGAUAAUUAGAACCAUGGAAAUUUUUAGAAUUGAAGUUAUAUUAGUGAACCAAGUAGGAUCUACCAUGGAACAUUCUAGAAAGAAUUUAGGGCAAUUAUUUAGGUGGAGACUACUAUAGAAUCUUCUAAAAAAGGCUUAAGGUGGUUAUCUAAUUAGGGCUUAUUAUAAAACCUUCUAAAAUAGGAAUUUAAGGUGAUUAUUUAGAUAGGAUCCAUCAUCUAUAAACAUUCUAGAAAGUCCAGAGUGAUAAGAUAAGGUAUAAAUAAAAUGGCCAAGGCCUUUUGAAGCAUCUCAUGAAGUAUGGCCUUUGACCUUUUUUCUUAGUAAAAUUUGGUUUUGCAUCUUUUUAUUUAGUUCUAUUUUCGUUUGCUCAGUUUUAUCUUUGAGGUCCUAUUUUGUUUAAUUCUAUUCAAUUUUGCUCUGGUCCAGUAUGUCCUAUCUUAUAAUGAGGUUUUAAGUUAUUGUGGAUUAGAAGGAUCUUGGAUACUUGAAAUAGAUCAGUCUUAUUUCACAUAAGAUUUCUAUUUUUAGAAUAUUGAUAAGUUUAUAAAAUCUAUAAUAGUUGCAAAUCUAUUCUUACUUUUGUUGAGAGUGAGAAUCAUGUCCUUGACUAAAAGGAACUAGAAAGUCACUCAAAUAUGAUAUAAUAUUGAACUAGAGUGGCUAUUGCCAAAAACAAGAAAACUAAAAAGUCUUGGAAUAAGACUAAAAACUAGAAAGAUGUUAACAAGAGUGAAGAAGGCUUCAUUCUUGCCUCCAUAUAUACUUUCUAACUAGGAGCUAUGCGGCAAUAUUCUAUAGGACCUCCAACAUGUAUUGACUUUACUAGCCACAUGUUUUAACUUGAAAGGCAAGUUAUUUAUAUGUAUACCAUAUAAUUAGCUUGUUCCACAAGCUACUACAUGGAGUUAACUUGUUCCACAAGCUACCAACAUGUGAUUAACUUGUUGGCCAAAUUUCUAACCUAUAAACACAUCUAAAGUUAAAAUUGCAUCUAUGAAGCUUUUAGGAAGCUUUUUUAGAAGACUUUAUGAAAUUAAUGUAUAUUUACCUAUUUCUACCUAAUCAUAUGAGUAACUAUUGGAAAAUAUAUACAUAUAUAUAUAUAUAUAUAUAUAUAUAUAUCCGUGACAAUAGAAAUACAACAAUAAUUCUAUUAAGUCUAAUAAAAUCUUAAAUAAACUUUAAAUAAACCUUAAUAAUCUUAAUUGAACUUUAAUCAAUUCAAAAUAAAUUUAAAAGAAGUUAUAAAAAAAAUACAAAGAAGUCCUAAAAUAACCUCAAAAAAAUAACAAGAAAUGUUUUAAAAAUAUAAAAAUAAACCUUAAAAGAAAUAAAAAUAAUCUUAAAAAAUUACUAGAAAGAAAAACUUACAAAAAAAUACCAAAGAGUCCUAAAAAAUACUAAAAAUAAAAAUCUUAAAUAAAUCCUAAUCAAAUUCUAAUUUAAUUCUAAUUUAAUUCUAAUUAGAUCUUUAAUUGAACCUUAACAUAAUUCUAAGUUAAAUCCUUAUUGAAUCUAUAAUUGAAUCUUAACCAAAUUUUAGGCCAAAUCUUAAUUCAAAUCCUAAUUGAACCUUAAUCAAAUCCUUGGUCAAAUCUUAACAAAAUCUUAAUGAAUCAUAAACCUUAGAAAAAUCAUAAACCAAAUCUUAAGAAAAUUCUAAUAAAACUCUAAAUCUUAAACAAGUUCUUAUAAAAUCCUAUAGCAGAUUGAAAUUUCAACAAUUAAUGAUCAAACUAUUGAUAUGAACUCAAAUUUUGCACGCUUCUUAAUAACUUAGUUAAAAACUAGUACAGAAAGAUGAAAUUAAUUGCACUUACCAAUUGAGAGAAUUUGCAAGAUAAUUCAAUCAGAUAUUGAGCAACCUCCUACUCUAACCUAAAUAUUGAACUUUUAAUACCAAUAUGUCCUUUUUGGAUUUUUUAAGUAAAAUUUCACUUAAAUGUUAGAAAUUAAGUCUAGUAUCUAUAUAAAAAAAUUCAUUUCAAUCCAAUUAAAAAAUUCUAAUAGUCUUAAAAACACUCAUUAAUCCUCAAAUUCCAAUUUCUAAGACCUAAACCCACAAAAAUCUUCAUAUACUUCAAUCAAACCAUUUGAUUGAUUUCAAAAUUUUCAUACAUAUUUACAACUAAUACACCAAUAUAUUACCUAAAUUUCACUUGUAUACAUACUACAAAACUCAAGAAAUCUUCAAAUUUGUUAAUAUAUUUUUAUUUUUCAUAUUCUAAUCCUACUAAGAAUAUAAUAAACUUUGAAAAUCUCUCAAAAUCUCAAUAUUGAUUUAAAAUGACAUAAAAUCAAUGCCCAAAAAUCUCUCCUUAAGUUUUUUUUCAAAUCUUACUCUUCAAUCUACCAAAAAUCCUAGAGUCACCAUAUAGACAUGAUUUUGUACCUCAGGAUCUGAUUUCAAUCCUAGUUGACAACAAGUCUUCUCCGGCUAUCAAUUUUAAAUAAUUUGAAGUAAAUUUUACUUUAAUAUAUUUUUAAUUCUUUCUUAAACAUGCCUAUAUUAAUUUCUUCUCUCAUUUAUUUUGAUUUUGUUCAUUUAUGCCUUUACAAAGUAACUAGAAGUUCUAUUUAUAAAAAAUAAUAUUAAGAUUAAAUCUUUUACUAUCUUUUUAUUAUUUAUCUUUAUUUUUCUAUUACAUCUUUUUAUUAGACUCUUCUAUAAUAAUAUCCAUGUUUUUAUUUUUCACUAUAUAAUCAUGUUAAUACACAACAUCUACCCCCUUUAAACUUGUACAUCCUUUGAUAUGCAUCAAAUAAUUCAAAUCUUAUUUGAUUUAUAUUAUGUUCUCUAUAUCUUCAUCCACAUAUGCUUCAUCAUUUUUGUUAUGUAAGUCAAAAUCAUCUUCUUAUCUUGAAAGUUUUAUGUCAUCAACAAGAUUGUUUAUAUUUAUUUUCAUUUAUCUUUAUUUGAAUGUCUUCACUUGCUUUCUUACAAUUGGUAUUUUUAACCUUAAUCUAUCUACUUCUUGUAAUUAAUAAGUUACAUUAUCAUAAAUAUUUGUUACCACAUAUGGUCUAAACCAAUAUUUAGAAAACUUCCUUAAAGUACUAUGUUGAUUGUAUAAACUACUAUCAUAGACCAAAAUCCAAUCACCUUCUUCAAUUGCCUUAGGUCUCAAUUAAUAUUACUUAUCAAAUUGUGCCUUAUUUUGUAACCUUAUUCUUUUUAACCUUUCUAAUGUUAUUUCCACAUCUUUUGGUCUUUAUUCAAAUUUUUGAAUUCUAAUAGCUAAAAGUUCUUUUCUUAUCAAUUCAUCUUCUCAUGGUAAUACAUUCCAAGUAAGUACUUUCUCUUCAAUUGGCAUAAUAGAUUUUUAAUUUGUCAUGAGCUCAAUAGGCAUUUAUUUCAUUAUCGAACUAUGCAAUAUUCAAUCAAUCCACAUUACAAAUGGCAAAAGUUAAGGCCAUUUUUAACCUUCCUAUUACAUACUUUAACUAAUGCUUUCAUAAUUGGUAGAUAAUCAUGUUUACUUUUUGUAUUUCCUUCAAAAUUAUUGGAAAUAAUCAAUAAUAACUUAAUUCCACAUCUUUUAAAAAAAUCAAGAGUUUUUUGUGCAUUUAAUUCUCCAUGAUUUUUAACAAUUUUUCUUACACAUCUAUAGCAACAAAUAACAUCUUCAAGUAAAAAUGUACAAAUUUCUUCUAAAGACUUUAUUUCCAAUGCUCUAUCUUCUACUUAGUUUGAUAGAAUUUCACAAACUAGAACUAAAUAUCUCAUAUGUCAUAAUCCAAUUAGUAUAAUAACCAAGUCAACAACCUAUUUAAAAUCAAUAGCAAAAAGAUAUGUUGGAUAUAGAUUAUUUCAAUGUCAUACAUUAGAAUAUGCUUGAUAAGUUUCACACAAUUUUAUAAAUAAAAACAUAUCUCGAUACAUAUUUUUUUAGCAAUAUUGUUCUUAGAAUUUAGCAAAAGUAGUCCAAAUUUUCCUAUGGCUAGUCCAUAAAAUAUUGUAGAAUCUUUUUAGUAGUUUUUAUUGAUCUUCUUUAUUUCCUAUCACUCAUUUUAGCAUCUCAAUUCUUUUCUUUGGUCUCUUCUAUAAAAAUCCUUCUUGAAGAAGAAUCCAUAUGAUUUUUUUUUAUUUAUUUAAAUAUUUUUUUAGACCAAUUUUCUUAUUUAGUGAAGGUAUUAAAAUAAUAAUUAAUAUUCAAUAAUAUUUUUUCUUAAAGCUCCUCAAUAAACAACUUGUCUUGCUUAUUAAGAUUUGAUACUAAAUAGAAUUUUGAUCCUACAUCAUCAAUGUCUUCAACCAUCUCAUCUUCUCUUUCACAUUUGACUUAAGACAACAUGUCCACUACAAAAUUGUACUUUUUAGCAACAUGAAUAAAUUUUAGAUUAAUUAAUUUAAUAUAAUUAAUUUAUUUUACUAUUGCAAUAGUUGGUAUUGAAUAAUUAGUAAUCAUUCUAAACAAAGCUUUAUGUUGGUUCUUAGCAAUAUUUGCAUAAAUUGAAAGAAUAUCUAUAGGAAUUUUUCAACCUAUUUCUCAACUUAUUGCACCUAGUAUUGUAGCUGCAGUUCUUAAUAAUGCUUUUUGAGGUGUCUUUUAUUUUUUAUUAUAGAAAUGGCCAAAGUCAAAAAUCUACUUAUCUCUAUACUUCCAUCAAAGUCAUCAUCUAUCAUAGUGCCAUAACUUGCACUUUCUUGUGUUGCUAUUCUAUAAAUUAUUAAAUAGUCUUGAAUCAAUGCUCUCAUACCUCCCUAGCCAAAAUCGGUUUGAAAGAAAUCUCCAAUAUCUUUUAAUGCCACCUUUCCAUCUUUUCAUAAAAUAACUCCCUAUUGUAUCAUAUCAUUAAAUCUAUUCUAAUCUUUCCUAAUAUGAAAAAUAUUAUCAUAUCAAAUACAUCUUUGUAUAUAUCCUUAUUUAGGAAUAGCUUUUAAAUUGAUUGUAGAAGUCUUUUUUUUAAGUCUUGCUAAUUUUAUUUGAAGAUUUCACACACCACAUAUAAUUUCUUCAACUCUCAUAUCUUCUUUUUUUGAUGUAGAUGCUUAAGAUUGAAUAAUAGGCAUUGUUGGUCAUAUUACAUGUACUUGAGUUUUAGAUGCUUGUACUACUCUUAGAAUAUUAACCCUCUCCUUCAACUUCUCUUAUUUUGUAAGUAAAUCUUUAGCUUCUUUAUAAUUUUUCUACUUCAUUAUCAAUACUUCAUCUUCUUCUUUAUUUUCAAGAAGCAACUUCAAUUUUUCUUAUUAUUUUCUAUUGGCUCCUAAAGAAAAUAAUUCAACCUUCUUUGGCUCUAAUGUUUAUUUUUCAACCUUCAAUAAUUAAAAAUAUUUCAUUUCAAAUUCUUUUAUUAGCUCUAUUGCUUAUAAAUUCUUAUUAGACUAUUCAAUCUAUUUUAGAAAUAAUUUCUUAGUAAGACAAUCAGUGUCUUUAAAGAAAUAUUUGUCUUUUAAUGCAUGUAAAAAUAUCUCCCAUGAACUCCUAUAAUGCCUCAUAAUUGAUAUAACAUAUUCUUGUAUCUCCAGUACUAUGGUAAGUCGAAAUAGCUCAAUCAUCUCUUUUUCAAAAUCCAAUUUAAUUCCAUUUUUUGCAUAUAACAACUUAGACACUUUGAGAUGUUUCUUCUAUCAAAUUGAUCAAUCUUGUUAACCAUUGCUUGCAAUGCUUUGAUUGUCAAAGCUUCUUUGCAAUUAUUACUUUGUUGUUAUUGCAUAGAUAAUAUAAAAGCUUGAAAUAUGCUUGCAAUGGUUAUAUCCAUAUAUAUACCUUAUCUUUUAGUGAAAAUUUUACUAGUAGCUCUACUUGAGGCUCUUUCCAUAGCUCUUUCAAAAUUCUUGUUCUUCUUAUCUAUUAAAUAAAAAUAAAAAAUAAAAAAAUUUUAAUACCUUCUACCUUAAGCUUUUACAUAGGAUUCACUACUUAUAUCAUAUUAUAUGUGUUCUUGCUUGAAAAUGCAUUGAGCACCUUGCUAUGGAAGGUAAGUAGAAAUGCAACAAUAAUUCUACUAAGUCUAAUAGAAUCUUAAAUAAAUUUUAAAUAAAUCUUAAUAAUCCUAAUCAAACUUUGAUGAAUCUAAUAUAAAUUUAAAAGAAGUUACAAAAAGAAUACAAAAAAGUUCUAAAAUAAUCUCAAAAAAAAUAGUAAGAAAUUUUUAAAAAAUAUAUAAAUAAAUUUUAAAAAAUCCUAAUCAAAUCUUAAUUUAACCUUAAUUAAAACUCUCAUGAAUCUUAACCAAAAUUUAAGUCAAAUCCUAAUUGAAUCCCUAAUUGAACCUUAGCCAAAUCUUAUAUCAAAUCUUAAUUAAAGCCCUAAAGAAAUUCUAAACCUUAAACAAAUCUUAAACCAAAUCCUAAGUAAAUCCUAAUCAAACUCUAAAUCUUAAACAAACUCUUAAUAAUUCCUAUAGCAGAUUAAAACUUCAAAAAUUAAUGAUAAAAUCAUUGAUAUCAAUUCAAAUUUUGUACACUUCUUAAUAAUUUAGUUAGAAACUAGUAAAAAAAAGAUGAAAUUGAUUGCACUUAUUAAUUAAGAGAAAUGCAAGAUAAUCCAAUCAGAUAUUAAGUAGCCUCCUAUCCUAGCCAAAAUGUUGAACUUCCAACGUCAAUAUCUUCUUUUUGAAUAUUUUAAUUAUUCUCAAAUUUUAUCUAAAUUUUAGAAAUUAAAUUUAAUAUCUAUAUAAAAAAAUUCAUUUCAAUCCAAUUACAAAUUUUUAGAGAUCUUAAAAAUAUUCAUUACCCUCAAACUCCAAUUUCUAAGACUUCAAUCCACAAAAGCCCUCAUAUACUUCAAUUGAGACAUUUAGUUGAUCUCAAAAUUUUCAUACACAUUGACAACCAAUACACCAAUACAGUGCCUAAAUUUCACUUGUAUAAAUACUACAAAAUUCAAGAAAUCCUCAAAUUUGUAAACAUAAUUUUAUUUUUUAUAUCCUAAUUCUACUAAAAACAUCACUAAAUUUGAAAAUCCCUCAAAAUCUCAAUAUUGAUUUAAAUGACCUAAAACUAAUGCCUAAAAAUCUCUCAUUAAGUUUGCCCUUAAAUAUUAUUCUUUGAUCUACCAAAAAAUCCUAAAGUCACCAUAUAGACAUGGUUUUGUGCCUCGAGGUUUGAUUUCAAUCUUGGUUGACAAUUGGUCUUCUUUGGAUAUUAAUUUUACAUAAUUUGAGGUAAAUUUUGCUUUAAUCUAUUAUUAAUUUUUUUUAAAAUAUGCCUAUAUUAAUUUCUUCUUUUAUUUACUUUGAUUUGGCUCAUUUAUGCCCCUAUAAAGUAAAUAGAAGUAUUUUUAAAAAAAAAUAGUAUUAAGACUAAAUCUUUUAUUACCUUUUUAUUAAUUAUUUUUAUUUUUUUCUUUUACAUAUUUUUAUUAGGCUCUUCUAUAAUAACAUCCAUAUUUUUAAUUUUUACUAUAUAGUCAUGUCAUUACACAACAACGGUCUUCUUCAAGUAUCAAUUCUUAAUAUUUUGAAGUUAUUUUUGCUAAAAUACAUUCUUAAUUUUCUCUUAAAAAUACCUUUAUUAAUUAUUUAUCUCAUUUUUUUUAUUUUGCUCAUUUUUUUUCCUAUAAGUUAAAUAGAAGUUUCUUUAAUAAGAAGAUAGUAUUAGAAAUUAUUAAAUUUUACUACUUCCUUAUCUAUUAUUUAUAUUUCUAAGAUAGUUCGCUAAAAUAUUCUCAUUUAAGCUCCUCUAUAAUAAAAUGUUUCUUUUCUUCUUUCACCUAAUAGACAUUAUUACACAAUAUGUUUUUCUUCAUAAAUACAUGCAUCUUCUAAUGUAUAUCAAUGAUUCUUCAAUUUGUUGAUAUAAGACACUUUUCAUCUUAGUCAAAUUCUUACUCUUUAAUUUUUUCUUCUACUUUCAUUUUAAUAUCAUUUAAUAGAUUUUUUUCUUCAUCAAAAUAUGUACAUGCACCUCUUUACUUAAGUAAUUUGAUUCACUUGCCUGCAAUAGGUGUCUUCAAUUUUAUUCCAUCAACUUCUUGUACCAAGUAUGUAUCAUUAUUACAAACUUCUAUUAUAGCAUAUGAUCUAAAUUAAUGCUUAAAAAACUUUCAUAAUAUAGUAUGUUGGUUAUCCAAACUAUUAUCAUAGACUAAGAUCCAAUUACCUUCUUCAAUUGUUUUAGGUCGUAGUUAGUGUGUUUUAUCAAUUUUUUCUUUAUUCACUUUUUUUAUUUUUUUCAACCUUUCUAUUGAUAUUUUAAUAUUUUCAAGUCUUUUUUCUAAUUUUUGAAUCUUUAAUACUAAAAGCUCUUCUCUAUUAAGAUUUUUUUUUUAAAGCAACACUUUUUAUGUAGAUACUAUUUUUUCUAUUGGCAUAAUUGGCUUUUAUCCAUAUAUUAACUCAAAAGGCAUAUGAUCAGUUAAUAUACUAUAAAUUUUGUGAUCUGCCAAUAAUACUAAUGAUAGUAGAAAAGCCAUUAAUGUACUUUUUUGUUGCAUAUCUUUAUUAAUGUAUUAACUAUAAGUAAAUGUCUAUGCUUACUAUUUUCAUUACCUUCUAGAUUAUAUUUUAUUAUCAAAGAAAGUUUAAUUUUCAUCCUACUAAAGAGUUAUCUUGUUCCUUUGCAUCCAAUUCACCUUUAUCUACAAUGAUUUUUUCAAUAUAAUCAUAGCAUCAUUCAAUUUCAUUUAAGAGAAAUUCACAUACAAUUUCAGUACUUUUUGUUUUUAAUGCUUAUCUUUCAAUCAUAUUUAAUAAAUCUUCAUGUACAAGUAUCAAAUACUUCAUUUGUCCAUCUUCUAUAAGUAUUGCUAUUAAAUCCACAAUCCACUUAUAAUAUAGUACUAGAAGAUAAGUUGGAUGUAAUCUAUUUUAAUAUAAAAUAUUAGAAUAAAAUUGAAAAAUCUCAUACGAUCCUAUAAAAUCAGCCACAUCUUUGUACAUGCCUUUCUAUCAAUAAUUCUCUUUCAAUUUAGUAAAAGUUGUUCAAAUUUUUUGAAGUCAUGUCUACAAACUCUUAUGGAAUUUCUUAAUAAUAUUUUAGUAAGCUUUUAAAUCACAUAUCACUAGUUUUUUCUUCUUUUGUGCUUCUAUAAAUAUCUAUCAUAUAAAAAAUAUCCAUAGUCUUUCUUAUGGAUUUUCUUAAAUUUUUGAUCUAUCUAACCUUCUUAUUACUUUAAUGUGCUUAAAUACUUUCCAAAAUCUUUCCAUUCAUCUUCUGUGGUACACUAGUAUAUAAGUUUCUAAUUGUGUAUUCAAAUAUACAUCUUCUUCUUUUGAUAAUGCAUUAAUAUAAAAUUUUGUAUCCACAUUAUCUUCCAAAUCAAUUAUAUCUUCUUCAUUGUAAUACCUUGCUCUUAAUAAUAUAUUUAUAAUUAAAUUAUCUUUUCUUGCAAUAUAUUUAAACUUUAGAUUUAUAGAUUUGAUAUAUGCUAUCCAUUUUAACAUAGCAAUAUCAAAAGUUAAAUAACUUGUAAUCAUGCCCAAUAAAGAUAGAUAAUUUGAUUCCAUAACUAUCAAUGCAUCAAUUAAUUUUUUUAUUUUAUUUUUCAUUGCUAUUACUACAAUACAUAAUUUCCUUUUGAUUUGUGCAUAUGUCCUUUGUUUAGUAUUCAAAACCUUUGUUCCAAAUCUUAUUACAUGUUUGUUUCUUUUUUCAUUAUUUUGUUCAAUUUCCCAACCUAUUCUAAUUGGACUUGUAUCAAGUGCUAAUAUCACUAACCUUCUACAUUCAUAAUUUACUUUCUUCAAAGUUGAAGGUGAAUAAAGAAUUUUUUUUUAAUUUUUCUAUAGCUUUUUUUUGUUCUUCUUUCUUUUAAAAUUUUUGAUUCUUUCUUAACAACUCAUACAAUGAAUCUACUACAAAUAAAAAAUAGAAUAUCCAUAUAUAACAAAAAAUACAUAUUUCUAAAAAUCUUCCAACUUCUGUUAUAUUUGUACAUUCUUUCAUCUUUUUAAUAAUAUCAAUCUUUUCAAUACUUGGCUUAUGUCCAUAUAAUCUAUAUAUGUAGCUAAUAAUAGAUAUUUUAUUAAUUAUAAAUAUAGAUUUAAUAUCCAACAAGGUCAAAUAUACCUCUUUCAAUUGUUAUAAAAUCUUUUCAUAAUCCAUGAUGUGAUUUGCAAUAAAUCUUUGACAAAUCUUUUAAUUCAAUAUUUCAAAUUUUUCUUCAUUUAUAUAUCUUUUAAUUAGAACAUCAUCUAAGAAUGGCAUAGUCUUCUUUGAUAUAAAAUCUCUCAACAAUUUUUUUAUUCCAUUCAUCAUAUAAAUCACUAAAUUAGUAGUCCUUUGAAGCAAUGUACACAUUCUUACUAAACCCAAUAGAGUCUUUAUAGUAGUUAAAUCUCUACUUUGUAAUACCAAUUAAAAUUGAUAAUAUUAAGAAUAAAGAUCAUCCAUUAAAUAGAUUAUUUUCCUAAUAAAUACUUUUAAAAAUUCAUUCAUAAUUGGACUUGAAUCUAUAUUUCUAAUAGUCACUUUAUUCACAAGUUGCAUAUCUUAUAUAAAUUUUAUUGUUUCAUUUUUUUUAGUACUUAAAAUCAUUGAUUAGAAUAAUAUACAAUAAAUGGUUUUAAAAUCCUCAUUUUAAUAUUUUCAUUGAGUAAAUCUAUAAACUUAGAUAAAUGUGCUCUUAGUACUAGAGUUAGUUGUAAAUUCCAUAGUUCAUGAGGAAUAAUAAAAAUAACCAUAGGUACUAUAAUAUUUGAGUCAAUAUAUCUAAUUUCAUGUGCUUCAAAUGUAAAAGCUUCUCUAUGUUGUGAAAUCAUGUCUUUAAAAUAUUUUUCUUUAUAAUUUGUCAAAAAUCCAUCACAUUCAACUUUUAAUCCAUCUAAUGUAGCAUUUAUAAAUUCAUGCCUUAUCUUUCUAAAAUCCCUUAAAUUUUAUUGUAUAAAUACUCUACUCACCUUUUCUUCAUAAUCUAAUAGUAGUAUCAAAGCCAUUGAUUUUAAUUUUUUUUAUCAUUGAUUUAUACUUAAUUUCAACACACCUCAAGGUGACUUAAAUUUUUUAUAAUUAUUUAAAUUUUAUCAUAAAUUUCUUUAGAACAUACAUUAAUAACUCUAUUUUUUCUUCAUAAUCUAUAUUGCAAUAAAUAAUUUAAUUCUUCCAUAGUAUUUGCUAAUCCUACUUCUUCAAAUGUUCUUAAAAUUAAUUUAUUUUCAACUAAUUUUCUUUUUUUAAAACUUUUUUUAAUAUUUUUCAAUAAAAUAUUUUUCCAUCUUUUUUAUCUUUUAAAUAUUAUUAAAUGAUAAUAAACAAUCUUAUGUUAAUCUAAUAAAAUUAAUAAAUAAUAUCUUUUUUUUUAAACCAAGUAAAAGUAUUUUUUUAUAACCCAUUACAAUCUUGUUUUACAAUGGUGUACGAUAAAAAUCCUUAAGAUCUUCAAAAUUUUCAUUUAAUAGUAGCUUCUCUCAUAACUUAUUGCAAUCUCUUUCAUAAUUGAUGGAAAUAAUUAAAAAUUGAAUUAUUUUUUUUCAUCUUUACUUCUUAUUUUUACAUAAGUUGAAUCAUUAUCUAUAGUCUUUAUCUCCAUUUGCAAUAUAUGAUUGUUCCAAUAUAAUAGGAUAUGUAUACAUAUCUUAUGUGAAAAAACAUUAUUCAUAAAUAAUAUCUUCUAUCAUUACCUUAAUAUUUAGACAAGUCUCAUGUAAAUUUUUUUUUGAAUUAGUUGCUAUUCUUAUUAUUUACCUAUUUUUAAUAUCAAUAGGCCGUUUUUUUAUAUAUAUAGCUCUUUUGACAUCAAAUUGAUUUCAAAAUCAAAAUAAAUUAAUAUUAAAAUUGUUAAUUUUAAUUUCUUUAAUUUUAUUAAAAUUUCUAUAAUAGAUCUUAUCUAAUAAUUUUUAGAAUAAUGACUAGAAGCUUGAAUAAAAUAUUUUUCUUUGAUAAAUCUAAUUUAUGAAAUAUCACCAAAAAUUUGCAUUUCAAUCUCUUCAUCUAUACUACUUUUUAUUGUCUUUGUUCUUUGUACAUUUGAUAUCAUAAUAUCUUUUAUAGUUUUUUUUUUUUUUUUUUUUUUUUGUAUCAAUAAUAACUUCAUAAAAUUCACGUUUUGCAAUCCUUAGAAUCUUAUCAAUUAUAAAUUCAAUCUUUCUACCAAAAAUUUGUUCUUCUUCAAUUUUGUAGUAGCUUCAAUAUUCAAUUGUAAUUUAUAAGUAGGAGCCUUCUUUUUUUCAAAAAAUCUCUUUUCUUUAUAAAAAUAUUUUUUAUUGUCUCUUCAUAUACAAGAUUUUUUUGUUGUCAUGUUUUUCUCUCCUUGUAGUCAUUUUUGAUGGCCUUUCAUUAUUUUCAUCUUUCCUUCAUUUUUCUUCAAUUAAUGAUUUAUGAUGAAUCCUUGCAAUAUAUACAUGAAGAAAUAAACUACCUAUUAGAUCAUUCCACUCAAUAAUUUUUUAAAUAUUAUUUCUAAAAUAUUCUAAAUUAUUUUUUGUAGAUUUUUUCUUUUUAGCAUAAUUUAUUACACAUGACUACAAAAAACUAGAUUUUCUUAAAAAUUCAAGAUUUAUACUUAGAUAUUUAUUUGGAUUUCUUCUUAUUUAAUAUGAUGAUGCUUUAUUGCUUGAGAUUUUAAAUAUUUUUCUUAUAAGUACCUUCAUUUUUCAUUUAUCAAAGUUUGUCAUCAAUUUUUUUCUUCUCCUUUAAUUAUAUUAUACCAUCUUUGAGAAAAAUAAUUCUUUUUUGUAGUGUCUUUGUAAAAACUUCACACUUCUUUUUUGAAUAAUCUACACUAUCACAUCACUUGUACCUAUGCACUACACCUUCUAUUGAUCCUAAUUUUUGUCUUAUUCAUACUCUUGAUGUUUGAUCAUUCUCUUCAAGUUUUACAAAUUUUAUUUACAAAUCUUUCAUUUCACAUAUAAUUUCAUCAAUGCUUAUUUCUUCUUUCUUUGAUGUAACUAUUGAUGGUUGAAUCAUAGACAUAGGAUAAUUAGUAGGUAUUUUUACAUUAGAUGUUUGCAAUAGUCUUUGAAUACCUACCUUAUCCUUUUUCUUUUUUUAUUUUGCAAGUAAUCCUUUUGCCUCUUUUAAUUCUUCAUAAUUUGUUGUCAAUCCUUAUUUUUCUUCUUCUUUACUUUCAAGUAAAAUUUCCAAUUUUUCUUGCAACUCUUCAUUAACUGCUUGAAAAAAAAAAAUCUACUUUGCUUAGAUAUAGUAAGUAUCUUUUUUUCUUUAAUAAAUAAGAAUAUUAUCUUUUAAAUUCUCUCAAUAAUUUUAUUACUUGAAGAUUCUUCUUAGGUCUUUUAAUUCACUCAAAAAAUGACUUUUUUGUAAUCUAGUCACUAUCUUCUAAGAAAAAUUCAUCUUUCAAUACUUGAGAAAGUUUCUCCCAUGAACCUCUAAAAUAUCCUAUAAUGGGCUUUACAUGAUUUUUUAUUUUUGAAACAAAAGCUAAUUCAAAUAAUUGAACCAUCUCCUUCUCAAAAAUAUACUUCAAUUCCAUUUUUUUAACAUAACACCUUUAAUAUCUUAUAAUAUAUUUUCCUUUGAAUUGAUCAAUUUUAUCAAAAAUUUCUUAGAAAGCCUUGUUUGCCAUGCCUUCUUUAUAAUCUUUAACUUGUUUUUUUUGCAUAAAUAAAAAAAAAGCCUCAAACAUGCUUGUAGAGUUAGAAUCAAAAUAUAUAUAUUUUCCUCAACUUGUAGCUCUACUUUCAACUCCACUUGAACUAUCAAUUGAAGUACCACUCAAAGCUCUUCCUUCUAUUGUCUUUCCUUCUUUUUCUAUAAUUCAAAUAAAACAAAAAAUCCAAAUACCUUCCAUCUCAAGCUUUUAAUAUUGAGUUCACUAAAUAUAAUAUAUAACAAGAAUUCUUACUUAAAUAUGUACGAAACACCUAGUUGUAGAAAGAAAAUAGAAAAUGCAACAAUAAGAUCCUACCAAGUCUAAUAAGAUCUUAAAUAAAUUAUAAGUAAACUUUAACAAUCUUAAUCAAACUUUAAUCAAUCCAAAAGAAAUUUAAAAGAAAUUACAAAAGAAACAUAAAGAAAUCAUAAAUUAAUUUCAAAAAAAAUAAUAAAAAAAUCCUAAAGAACUAAAAAAUAAAAAUCUUAAAGAAAUAAUAAUAAAUUUUAAAAAUAUUAAAAUAUAAAUCUUUAAAGAAAUAAUAAAAAAAAUUAAAAUAUAUAAAAUAAAAAUUCUAAAUAAAUCCUAAUUAAAUCUUAAUAUAGUCCUAAUUUAAUUUUAAUUAAAUUCUAACUAAAUUUUAAUAAAAUCUUAAAUCUUAAACCAAAUACUAAUAGAAUUAUAAUAAAAUCUUAAUCAAAUCCUAAACAAAUCCUAAACAAUAUCAAGAUAAUCUUUAAUAAAUCUUAAUCAAUUAUUAUAGUUAUUUUAGAACCUCAAUAAAUAUUAAUUUAACUAUUGAUCUUAAUUAAAUUUUAAUCACAUUUCAAUCUACAAUUAAUUAAUAAGCAUAUAAUUUUUAAAGAGAAUCAACUUACUAAUUUAAAAAUAAAAAUUCCUAAAUCGCUCAAAUAUUGACUGCCCUCCUUCUCUAAUCUAAAUGUUGAUAUUCCAAUAGUAAUUUCUUCUUAAUGAGCUAUUUAAUUUCUUCAAAAAUUUACUAAUAUAUAGAAUUUUAAUUCCAAAUAGGUAUCACCAAUUUUUGCUUCAAUCAAAUUGGUAGAUGUUGCAAGAUUGCAAAAGCCCUCACUAAUCCUAAAUUUUAAUUAUUUGAGAUCAUAAUCCACAAAAACUCUCAUAAUUGCCAAUUUAACCAUUUAAUUAAUAUCAAAUUUCACAAACAUAUUCAAGACAAACACAAUGAUAGAUUAAUAAAAUAUCACCUAUUAAUAUACUACAAUAUUUAAAAAAAUCCUCAAAAUUAUGAACUUCUUUUAUUUUUCACAAUCCAAACCUAUUAAAUACAUCUCUUGCUUUGAAAAGCCCUCAAAACCUUAAUAAGACUUCAAAUCUCAUAAAAUGAACUCUUAAAAAUCCUCUCAUAAUUCUACUUUCAAAUGUUGCUUUCUAAUUAAUAAAAUUAUUUUAUAAUUUUGCUCUCAAAUCUUAUUCUUUGAUCAACUAAAGAACCUCACAAAUGCUGUAGGUACGUGAUUUUAUAUCUUGAGGUCUAAUUUCGACCUUAGUUCACAACCAAUUCUCUUCAAGUAUUAAUUCUUUGUAUUUUGAGGUAAUUUUUGCUAAAAUAUAUUCUUAAUUUCUUUCUUAAAAUAUCUAUAUUAAUUAUUUAUCUCAUUUAUUUUUAUUUGGCUUAUUUAUAUUCCUAUAAAGUAAAUAGAAUUUUCUUUUAUAAGAAGAUGGUAUUAGCACUUAUUAAUUUUUACUACCUUUUUAUCUAUUAUUUAUAUUUCUAAGAUAAUUUAUUAAAAUAUUUUCAUUUAAGCUCUUCUAUAAUAAAAUAUUUUAUUUCUUCUUUCACCUAAUGGCUAUGUUACUAUAGAAUAACAUGAAUGUAGGCUUUACAAACUUAUAUCCUUAAAUAAGUUGGAUUUGGAUUACUUUAAUACAAACCUUUAAAUGGUGUCAUAUUUAGCAAUGCAUAAGUUGGAUAUUAAUUAAAAAUAUAUGUUGAAGCAUAAAAAAUUUCGGAUAAAAAAAUACAUAUAUAUUAAUAUUAACAUAGUUUUAUCUAAUUUAAAAAGUGACAAAUUUUUAUUUUUUGCUAUACUUUUUUAUGUAUACUAGAUAAGAUAAUAAGUUAUCUUUGAAUAUUGUAACUAGCAUAAAUAAAAAAAAUUAAAUUAAAAAUAAAAAAAUAUCUUGAAUGAUAUUUUUAUCCUUAGUUUAUUUAAAAAGAAUCAAUUUUUAGUAAGAACUUGGUUUCUAUUAAAGUUUUAAACUAUUAAAGAAAAAUAAGAACUUGGCUUGUAGUCUGCAAGAAAAUCUAAGUAUAAGAAAAAAAAAGUCAUCAAUAAACAUUAGUAUGUAUUUGUCCUUAAACAAAGAUUGAAGAGGCAUGCAAAGAUCAUUAAGAAUAAGCUCAAGUGGACAUGUUAUAGUCUAAGAAUAUUUGGAAAUUCUUUUACAAUGGUUUUUUUUAAUAAUACAAGUUAUGCAUUGAUACUUCAUUGGAUAUAACCAAGGAACUCCAAUGACCAUAUUUUCAACAAUCAUAUAAUAUGUUGAUUGGGAAUUAAGAUGUGUAAGCCGCUUAUGCCAUAUGUCAUUGAAGUCGUGAUUCUUAUGACUAAUUUCACUCAACUUAGGCAAUUAAGUUAGACAUUAAAGGUACAAUCUAUAGAAGUAAGAUAUUACAUUCUUGAGUUGUGUAGACUUGUUUGAUUAUAGAAUAGCUUAACCUCUUUGUGAAGGUUUUAAUCUAAAUAAUUUAUAUUUUAAAUUACAUUUUGCCCAAAGAUAUCUUUGGAAGACAUUAUCUUUAUAAAAAAUAAAGUAAGAUUUGGAGUCAAAUAUAAUAUUAUACCCAUUGUCAAUGAGUCUUCCAAUAGAUAGUGGAUUUUGGUGAAGUCCUAGCAUGUACAGAACAAAUUUCACAGCUUUAUUUUCCAAAAUAGCAAUGCUCUUUCUGGCAAUUGACAUAACAAAUCCACUUGCAAUAGUAACUUCAAGUCCAAGACUUGAGGUGUUAGGUUUGAAGCUGCUGAAAAGAUCACAAUUUUCUGUGACGUAACUUGUUGCAGCUAAGUCAACAUAUCAUUCACAUUGUAGCUCAGUGACAUUAGCCUCAUGCUGGUCGGUCUCAGCUUUGUACUCCCCAUAUUGAGGCAAAUAAUCUUUGUAUUCUUUAACGAUGUGGAUUUGAGUCUUGAGGCCAGCCUUAUUGCAGUGAUUAUAGUUGUUGGUAUUGACUAUAUUUGCCCCAACCGUGAGAAGAGUAAUGAGUUGUAUGAGCAUAACUCCCAUAAAACCCACGACCGUGUCCACGUUCAGGUGAGUUGAAAAAUUGUCAUCUGGUCCAAAGUGCUUCUUCAAGGACCUAGUCUUGUUUGCCUUUUUUCUAAUAUUUCUCAAUUUGCAUGAGCUCAAAAAGCUAAGUGUAUAUUAGAACAAGCUUUAUGGCAAGGUUAGAACCGAAGUUGAACAAAAAUAGUCCCCAACUUAGAAGAAGUCCAUCUAGAAUGAUAUGUAUCAAUUUAAUCCCCUCCACUUCAACAUUGAUGCUUGCAAGUUUGUUGGUCAGAUUUUCAAUGCUUUUCAGGUAGUCUUUGAAGUUCGUUCCUUCAAUCAUGUUGAUGGCUUGUAUUUGCUUUUCUAGUCGAGGUCGGUGGCCGUAGAAAAUCAUCAUUGUAUCGUUGCUUAACAAGAUUCCAACAUGCCACUAGAUUAUUGGUGAAUCAACCAACAGUGGGUCUAAACUUGUCUUUGACUGUGGCCAUCAGCAUUGGCUUUGCUUGCAUACAUAGACUCCUUUUCUGUCGUUUAGUGAGGUGGUUUAUUGUCAGCAUUGGUAUUGUCGUCAGCAACUUCAUUAUUGACAUUGUUUCCUAUCUCAGGCUCAAUUGGACAUCGGUCCUCAAACUCCAGUUUAUCCCAAACAUGUCUCGCUCGAGAAGGGUUUGAACAAGGAGUGCCUAGGAAACGUAGUUCUGUGAGACAUCAAGCUUGAUCUGCCAAAAGACUUCUAAGCAGGAAGUAGAGACUAGACUCUACUACACAAACUAAAGUGACUUCAGAUAUUUGAUCAUUUGAGAAGAGCAAAAGAGCCGUCUCUUUAAUACUAUGUUGCAAAAAAGCUCUGGUGACACAGUCUUUACUAAGGUAAACAAUAUACAAGCGGAGAUGCCAAUUUAACAUGAAAAAGGAACUGCGGAAAUGUAGGUGUCCACGGUAGAUCUAACGGAAUAAUGUGGCUAUUCUAAAUCAAAAGAUCAGCAUUCACUAAUCUACUUAUCUAAAGAGGUGAGUAUAGUCCCUUGAAUUGCUACUAUCAGAGAACACUUGCGAGCCACAAAUGUGCUGUCAGAUUACACCUUACCUGUCUGAGCAGGUAAUUUUCCAACACCCGCUUGAUGAUCUUGAGCAGUUUCAACUUGACAAUAUCCCUCCAUCAUGUCCUGUUUGUGAAGAGUUACUUCUUGUGGCAAUUGAGAAACACUAUCGUGACAAGUAUAUGAACUAUUAGACUACUCUGAUUUUCCACACCAUAAGAGGAGCUGACGUCCUCCAUCCUGGUAUCUUCCGACAGUUGCAGCUAGACAAAUUAUCUCCAAGAUGACUACACUCGUUCAGCAUACCACAAGCCUUUUCAGAAGCAGAAAAUACACAAGAAUUGCAGUACAUAAUAUUACCACCGAGAGCGGCCACCUUAACAAAUGAGGGAUACGUAAGCGCGCCUGCAGGAGGAGGCAUCUAAAGACAAUUAGUGAGGGCAUCGGAUGGAGGCUUGGGAGAGAGCACCACAUUUACGCAAGUGUUUGACCAUUUGAGUUAAUGUUUGGCCAUUUGAGUUUCUUCGCUUUCAAGUGUCGCCAGAUGCGGACAUAUUUCAAUGUUCAGAGCCACCAAUCUCAUCUGCAACAUAACAUAUCACCGAGCGUAAGUGACACAUGUUCCAGUUGUGUCUUUUUCAAUAUGGAUUUAGGAAGUUUGGGGAUAAAGGAGCUUGAUCAUUUGAUUAGAAACGGCUCUCUUAGUUUUUGCAGUGGUUCAAAUUGUGGGGCAGAUUAGAAGGGCCUGAGGUAUUUUGUCCAAUCCUACUUGAGGUUAGAUGCAAUCCGUAUGGACGACACAGCAAAACAUUAGCCCGUAGGCUUACGUUGCCACGGUUCGAGGAAGAUGCAAAAAGAUGAAAGAAGUUGUUGUUUUCCAUAGCAAUACGCUACCAUGGGACAGUCAAGCUUGAAAGUGUGCAAAAGCUACUUCUCGAUUCACUUGGAGCAUGUACUCGGUGCAGCGAUUCUGUAGGCAAGAGUCGAGGCAUGUGGUUAUCAACUUUGAAUGCCCUGGAAAAUGUUGCGACGCAGGUGUUGGAGAGCGAAUGAGCUUCCGGAUGUGGUGAGGAGCUGUGCAAAGAGUUUCGUGAACAAUUUUGCCCUUCUGCCGGCUCGGUAUACGUUGUGCUAAUCGGAACAACCACAUGGGGAUGUUCUGCGUCCUGUAGCAGUUACUGUGUUCGAAUGGAGCUAUUUCAGUAAACGCGAGAGGCACAAUAUGCCACCAGCUGCUGCAGUUAUGGUGACUCAACCGCCUCAAUCUACCAGAUCUAGUCCAGCGGCGGAGGAGGUAAAGAUACAGAAGAAAGAGGCCUGCAGUAUUAGGCUGGUGAGAGAAAAGACACGCACAUCAUCGGUGGUUGUUCCGAUUAGCAUAUUGCAGUUUCAAGACGUUCUUGACCAUCGGAUGGGUGGUGUACAUAUCUUGUCAGCAAUUAAAAUUUCCUGUGACUUGGCGCGAGGUUGUGCACGAGUUUUGAGUAAUCGAUUUAGUGGAUUCCUCUCUGUGCAUGCGAUCUUUGAGCUUGGUGAUGUUGAAGCACAGUUUGAGGUGUUGUGCUGGAUUACAUCUCCAGCGAUGUGCUUUAUUAGCUUCUUUGUUACUAAUGUUUUUUAUGUCGUUUUUUUUAUUUUUUUUUAUUUUUUUUUGUUUAAUAUACCUUCCGGCUUUAUUAGUGUCUAGCUUGUUGAAAACUUUGAAAUAGUGAUAUAUUGUUGGUGUAGCACUGGAUGUCCACGCAAUAAAAAAGAAUGACACAAUAAAUUAAAAAAGUGUCCAGACAAUAAAAGGGGGUGUUUACCAAAUGGUUCCCAAAAUAUAUUACAUUGUCUUGUAGUAUAGAGCCAGAAAAUAAGCCCAAAAUCAUUUGCAAAUCAGGAAUUCUGAACCUGGAUGGAGAAGCUGGUUGCCUUUGUGAAUAGUACCUGGUCGUGGUCGUGAUCAAGUUUGGAGCAGUCGUGCAUUUGGUAAGGGUCCAUACUGUAACCACCUCCUAACAACAUUCUAUUGGCAUCAUGUGGCCGUGGAAACAGUAGUUUCAAACGGUAGGCAUCAAACCCGUUGAGAUAGUAUCUGUGGAGCCGCUUGGCGCGGAUGAAGCCAAGGUUGCCAUACAAAGCAAGAGCACCUAGGUUUGUCACCUCAGCUUCCAAGGUCACCUGAAAGACAAAAAUCAACUAAGAUCGCCUUGACAAGCAGAACAUUGUAGAAAAGGAAUCACAAAUUUAAGGUGCGCUUAGCUUGGAUGAAAGUGGGACAUAUUCUGCACAAAAGGGGGAAUAAUAAACAUCUACAGUUCUACUUGUACUUCUUGCGAAAUUGUUUAGUUGUACGUGAAUGAGAUUCGAAAAGUACCUCGUCACAUCCGGCGUCGCGCAUGACUUGAAUGCAGCGAGUCACCAAUUCUGUGGCUGCAGAGCCCGCUUAAUGCAUAAGAACAUCCACAAAUGACACAAAAAUGGGGGCAGCUGUUCAAACACUACUUGACACUGGAACACCACCUACUUGCUGUAUAAGACAAGAAGAUUAUCGAUGACAUUUCAAAAUUGAACUGCAGGGCCACUUGCAUGAAGGGUGUUAUGGCUUCCAAUCGGCACCUCGUGUGAGUGUGUACAUACACACAAGGAAAUGCCAAGCAAAAACGUGCUGAUUGUUAGCUGUUGAGAAAUUAUGCUGAUCUGCUUACCAAUACCCUUUCCUCGGUGUUGUUUAACAACAACAAGCAUGGCAAUAUAUCCACGGAAGGUGUUUCGAUGCUGCCCCAUCUUGCAGACAAGCGUACCGAUGCACUUUCCUUCAUGAAAAGCCUGCAUUAUGAGUGAUUGAGAUGAGCGGAUGUAUAAGACACGUUGGUUGCAGACCCUAAAGGGUGUUAUUGGUCAAGGAGGAAGAAAAAAAUCACGGGAAGCUGGAUAGAAUUUCAUUUACAAUUAGCUCUUCAAAAUAAUUGAAAAUAGACCAAGCAACCGAUACAACUGCUGCCUAUUCAUAAUACGCGAGAUAGCAUAUCAAACACUAAGAUGUGGAUGGGUCAUCAUGCACUAGAAUCCUCAUGGUUAAUAUUAAACAAACAGAGGACAAAGCAACCUUGUGCUAACUGAAGUGUUGACGGAAUCCAACCAGCAUGACGGCCCCAAUUUGUUCGUUGUUCUGCAGUGACAGGGAACAAGCAUUUGAAGAUUACCUGAUUCUGUACAAGUCCUAGAAUGUGAAGAAAUUAUGGCUUCCACCGGAAAAUAAGUUCAUGCACGUCGUAAUGAACGUAAUUGAAUAGGCACGAUACCAAAAGAUGUCACUCAACAUAUGAUUCGCAGAAAACACAAAUUAAUUGUAAUGAAUUCUUGAAGAUACAGCAACUUGCUAAAGCUGUAGAAAGCAUUACGAGCCAUGCGAUUGAGAAAACAUAACUCAACGGUAAAUGAAACACAGCCGGGAACGAAGAUGCGACCAGGACCUCCUUUAACUGAAUUGCUCUAAAGCCAUCAUCCACCCAACUCCUGGAACUCAAUUAGGAGGAUAACGAAUAGAGGUUUGUUCCAACAUUUAUCGCCCAUAUCCAUGAUCGUGGCGGUGGGUGCAAACAUUACUGAUUUAAUUAACAGAGCACUUGGAUCAUCGACGACAAUACUACCCUCCCUCGUCAGAAUUCACGCACGCAAGCAGUUUCGUGUAGUAGCUUAGCCUUAGGUCGAAUUUCCCCAUGUGCAUUCAAGAAUUCUCAGCAAGUUUGAGCUUGUGCAAAUAGCUUACCAUGAAACAGAGGUCAGGCCAGAGAGUGAUGAAAUAGCGGUAGGUGAAGAUGGAGUAGGGCUCUGACAACUCCUGGUCAAUCAGUGCCAUGAUGUCCGGCAGCUGCGUCUCAUCUUUGUAAGAAACAUACUCAAUACGGCCACUACCCGCACCGUCACUAGUCUUCGAGUCUUCCUCCUCAACCCUCCCGAUAUCUGCUUCUUUUGCUGAGCCAUCCGCUUCCCUUCUCUCAGUCUCUGCCAUAGUGUUCCAAUUCUCCUAACGCCACACUAAUGGAUGCCUUACGGUCCCUUUACUCCCGCGUACACAGAUGCUUAUCCCAAGAUUCUCAGUCAGAAUCAAAAACAAUAAACAUUCGCAUUAUUUUACGCUGUAUUGCUCUCACCCUGUCACGAUAAUAGAAUCUUCCCUAUUCCCCGCGCACUCGCAACAAAAACGAACAUGGAUCGAAAAACGAUAGCUCACUCCGUUACUCGCAAAGCCCUAAUAAUGCUGCUUUCGCUACGGAAACAAUCAUUUCUCAAUUGAACUGCCAAAGCUUCUACGUGGGGCCAAGCGCUGCGAGUGUUCAAAACAGAGCUUUAAAUUAGGACUUUAGAUUGACUUCAAUUCCAACAUCCUAAGAUCCUUCACCAAAUUUAGAGUAUACCAAUCAAAGAUUUAAGCCCAUGUCAUAUCAUGGUCAAAUUACUGGUUUCCUGAGCCACAACGCUCUAUUAUUUUUUUCCUUAUGGACUUCGUCAAUGAAUUAGACACCGGCCAAGACACUUAGUGUCCAGAAAUUAUGAACACGAAUUGGGAACACCAUCUAAAUUCUUCACUUAACAUUUGAUCCAAUUAUACACAUGUGCACGAACUUGUGCACACAUCAUGGUAGUUUAAGUGAUAAAUACUCAGACAUAGACAAGUUUUUGGUUUCCAAGCCACUCCAAUUCAUGACAAAUGUCAAACAAAUAUCGUUCACAGGACUGCUGGGGGUUUUAGCUUGAAAACUGAUUCAACUAGGUCUGUGACGUGCCAUUCGCAAUAGAGUAAAGUGCUGAUUUCAGGAUAUGUCAUAAGUCGAACACGCAAUAGUUUUCCAAGUAAAUAUUUACAGCAGUAAAAGAAUAUAACAUGCGAAAAGACUUCAGCGUCCAUGCAAGUGAUUUCCAGGAAUCCAAAGAGAGUCGGUACUCUUACAAACGCUGGUCUCAGCCUAGUUGAAUACUGGACAAACAGCGGCUAAAAUACAGGUCUCGAAAAUACCUAGAAGUAAUCUAGAUUCGUGCUAGGCAUGCUCCUGGUGUGUGUCACUAAUUGAAUGAUGUACAAAUGUUGAUGAACAAUGGCAGUUCAUGUACACUUCUGAGCCGCAUCUAACAAGUACAACGAUGUGCACUAAAAAAUAUGUGAUUACCUACAUGUAGAAUCUUGACCUAAGACAAUAUAAUAGAAUUGAAAUUGAUGAGAAUCAAAAGACCGAACUACAGAAAGAUUUCACGAAGGGUACGGGCUGCAACCCGGGAUGUGAGUCGGUUCAGGAGGUCAGGUAGAAUAUUUCUUGCAACAUCUGGAAGCACUGGCAGCAAAUCUCUCAACACUUCUUGAAGGUUCACGUCUCCCUACAAUCCCCAAUUGCACAGAAAUCAUAAAUAAUUAGUAAAUUGCACAUGGUGUCUUCAAGAAAAGAUGUAUAUAGUAAACUAAUUCAAUCAGUGUAAAACAUAAAGUUCCGAGUCACAUCGAUCACUACAACUUGGUAACGGAUCAGUCUUCUUCACGUAGAUCCCCGAAAGAAAGCACAAAUGAAGACGACCUAAUCAAAUGGUUCACUGAUAUUAAAUAAACUAAUAAAUCAAGUUGCAUCCUUUGGCAUCCUUAGAAAAACACAGUUCUCGAUUAAUAUUAACCUGAAAUAUGCUAACAUAUGGCUUAUAAUUCUAACAGCCACCCAAAUACGUACCUGUUCUGAAAUAGACCGAGACGCUGGAGAGCCAGACGAAAGAAAUGCUACGACCCGCCGCAUGUUGUUGAGCACUACCUCAUCUUCCUUCGUGACAGUGGGCACAAGUGAGAGAUGUCUCCGAAACCCAGGUAGAGCAAAAGAAUUUAGGAUAGGGUCAAAUCUCUGAAGACCUAAAGUCAUCACAAUUCUGGCCAGCUCCUCUCGUGUCACUGCAUCAAUUCCCUUAACAACCUGCAGUAACAAAAGUUUCCACCCAUGUAUCAGUAUCAGCAGCAGUACGUAGUAACGCGGUCCAUCGCCAGUUUAUUUCGGGAAGGAGAAGAUUCAGGAAUCUAGAUUGUUAGGUAAAUUGAAACGGUGUGUUUAACAGACUACUAGAAACUAGAAAACUAUCCAUGAAAAAAUCAAAUCGUUAUGUUGUAUUGCAGACAUUUCUUAGAUCCAAUACAAAACUACUGGAAGUUAAAGGUAACAAAGUUAUGCACAGAACUUUGCUGCAGAGAGUGAGGUAGAGUAUUGUAAAUACCUCAUCCAAUAUGAAUUCUCGGAAAAACUCGCCCUGCUCUGAAAUCAAGAAGCUCAAAGCAGCCCUAGUCUGCACACCCCCUUGCUGCCCUACUCGAGCCAAAGAACCACCUGCAGCAGGAGAUUUGCCAGCAACUGCACCUGAGAAUGCAGAACUCCCUUGCAUUUCUUCUCCUCCACCACUCUUAGCUGCUACCGUAAACGUUUCAAAUGCUUCCAUUACGUCAAUGAAUCUUUCUGCAUCGAAGUUUGAAUUUCGCCCAUAUAUGGUAUAACGCAACGCCUCCCUCAGUCUAGGAGAAGGGUCCGUCAAUAACCUCUGCGCAUUAAGUCUAAUUUUCAUUAUCCUACUCAAAACUUCAGAUAAAAGACCAAAAAAUCCCCGUCCCUCCCAAGAUCGCAAUCAGUGUAAGUAACCUUUAAGUUACAGUGCAUAAUUACGGCAGUAGCCGCAUCACAGACAAACUCUCAGAAUGUGCAUAUAAUAGACGCUAAACGCUCAAUCUCUUUAUUACAUCAUGUAUCAUGAGAACGAUAUGCAAUUAAGUUGCUUAGUUCAAAAUGACUUACUUGGGCAAUAUAUGGAUAAGCCUCAUCAACAAUAGCGAAGUCUGGAUUGCCAACCAAAGCGAUUCCUUCGAGUACACCAAUUGCACGGAUAAUAAGUGCAAAGUACGGUGGAAUUCGAAAAGGAUAAUCGAAAGUGAUUUGUGCCAGGUCCGCGGCAAGCUCUUGGAAGUUGAUAUUUUUUGCACCACCACCUUCUAAGGCUUGAUCGAACACUUUUGCAAGAACUGGCAUGAUUGGCGCUAAAUUAACGCCUUCAGGAAUGAAAUCCAGGAGAACAAAAUCUUCAACGAUGGCCUCAUAGUCUCGGUGAAUCAAAUGAGAUAUGGCUUCAAUCAUUCCAUACUUCUGGUUAUCAGUGAUUUGAGUCAUAAGGCCUGUGUAGGCAAACAACAGACAAAGGUCAUACGGUGUGAUCAACCAAUUCAGUUCUCUACACAGACACAACAUCACUGAAGGUCCAAGAGAAAAACUUCAAGCAAAAUGAAAGCGGCAGAAUUUACCAAAGUCGAGUAUAGCCAGUUUGCCCUCAGGUGUACGAAUAAGGUUGCCAGGAUGUGGAUCCGCAUGAAAUAGCCCGGUGUCCAGUAGCUUUAACCACAAAUUACAAAAGAUCAAAAUAAGUUAACACGCGGUCCUUGACCAGCAAAAAAUGUACAAAGUUUGAACGGACAAUGUAAAACAAGUCGUGCAAUUUCACGAGUGCAAAAGAAAACAUAACUGGCAGCAUUGCAUCCAAAGUCUUCGCUAUGGAUCAGAAAAAAUGAUACAUAUACCUGUUUCAGGUAGCAGAUAACUCCAAUGUUCACAAGAUCACCAACAUCGCUAGCAGUACUUUGUGAGAGUUUCUCUCCUUCUAUCCAACUGGUUGUCAAAACCCGUCGUGAAGUGUACUUUGUGAAAGUCUUGGGUACAACGACCUGGCCAACAAUAACACAAGAGCGAAUGGAUAAGAGCUUUUGAGCGAAGAAGCAAUUCAGCAACAAACACGCCAACAAAUUUGAGUCAACAUCAAUCUCUUACCUGAGGAAGGUCAACUUUCAUUUGCUCAGCAAAUCUUGUCCCAUUUUCUCCUUCAUUGAUAUAAUCCAGCUCUUCAAAAAAUCGAGCUGCCCACUCGUCAACAAGCCCUACAAUGUCUGUAGCAAUCUGCAUUCCUACGGCAAAAAAUUGCCUUUCACAGUUAAUUGUAAGCCAAGAACUCACAACACUGAAUGAAACACCUCAAAAGUUAAUUUUGCAAUACGAGACAUACAGUUUCAAGAAUACAACUGCUGCAGGCUAAUAGAUAUGAUGACCACAAGUCACAUGCCUGAGGGAAUCUGCGAAGAGCAACACCCAGACGACGGAUGAUAAAGAGAUCAAUUGUCACGGUCUCCAAAACAUAUGGUCGUUGAACUUUCACAGCCACAGUUUCACCUGUCUCGAGAAGUUUUCCCUUAUACACUUGACCCAAUGAAGCUGGCCAGAAUCAUAAAAAAAAUUCAAUAUGUUAGAUCCUGUCCUAAAAGUGAGACUCAAAUGACGUUGUCAGGUACAAAGGCACAAUACCAAAUCUGUUCAAGGGAUUGACGAAAGCCCAGAGAUUCGGCUAGGCAACAGUCCGUUAAAUUAAUCGCACGGUUUUAUACAAAAAAUUACAUAUUCUGUAGAGGAACAGUUUAAAUGUAAGCAAACUAUGAGACAAGAGAUACCGUAAGACGUUGUAAGUACCUGCCGCUAUUGGGGAUUCAGUUAGCUCAGAGUAAACUUCUUGCCAGGGUUUCCCCAACUCAGAUUCAAUAAGCGCCAUGGCUACAUCAUUCGGAAAUGAAGGAACCUGUCAAGUGAAAACAAGAACAGGUUUUCAGAGAUUUGAUCCUAAAAAACAGUUUAGCAACUUCCGCAAUGAGAAUAAGCAAGAGUUCGCACCACAAAAUGGUUUGUGCAACCUGCAAUUUGCAUGCCAGAAGUGGAUACCUUAUCACAAAGCUUUUGCAACUCAGUCAUGGCAGAAGGAGAGAGUAUAUCAGGCCGAAUACUAAGAGCUUGUCCAAGCUUAAUGUAGGCUGGACCAAGUGACGUUACAAUCUCCCGGAGUUCAAUUGCUCGCUUCACUUCAUUCUGUAAGAAAUUGAUAAGAAAUGUCAAAUUUCUUCUUCAAAAACCUUCACACUGGCAUUGAAAAGAACUGCUCGCCUUCUCUCUAAGGUUUAAUUCAACCUGAAGAUAAAAUAAUCUCAUAGUUAUACGCCCAUGAUUCCUACAAAAUGCAUGAAAGAAGAGGGCGGUGAAGAAGAAGAAGAAGAAGAAGAAGAAGAAGAAGCUGAUUAAUUUUCUUACCUCCUUCACUUUUUUCGUUAUAAUGUCCAUUGCAAUUCGCGACAAAAAUCCACCUGCGACUCCGAGUAGUUGAGCAAUACGAGUCGCAACAGAUCCAGGGCGCUUGCCCCAGUAUGCGGCAAUAGUUUCAGGAUCGUAGACAAGUGGCAGGCUAUCUUCGCCUUGUACAUUAUCUACCUGCACAACGAUAGCGUUAAUUACAUUACCACCUCUCCCGAUGUCAUAACACGUUCGCCAAUUUCACAAUUUUUCACUCAUUGCUUAAAAAUUCAUCAAGUAAUAAGGAAAAACAGUAAUCUAGCUGUGUAGCAUUGUAAGUUCCCCGGCAGAAAUAGCCAAGGGGCACGUAAAAACGAUCUGGGGCAUGCCACCACAAUCAACCAACAUGGAGACGACAGAAUUACACAGAGUGUAAUAUGGGGAGAAGAAAUCAACCUCGACAAGACGCAUCACAACGUCAUCCGCUGCAAAUUGCGAAUCUGAAAGGUUCUGGCCACGGAGACCACGCAUGAGAGAUGCGACCUGCUCGUCUUCCUCCAUUUGGGCCCGCAUCCUCUUCAUUUCCUCUGCCAUCUCUCCCACUCUCUGGCACAGGAGCAAAGAUUGUAGCAAACAUUUAUCAGCUACAGCUAGAUACAAUUGAAUGGCAUCGAUGUCUCAAGGAACACUCGGUGGUAGCCGGACACUCCCAAUGGCAUCUAAUAACGUUCUACAAUACCAUGCCUACAUCAUUUGCUUUCUUACCAACCAUCUAAUUUAAAUCCACGGACUUCGAGUCUUUAGUGCUGAUAACAUCGUAGCUUGGUGUCCGCAUGCUAUUUGACAUUUAGGAAAGACUGUAGAACUAGCUUGGAUUUCUUGAGUCAACUGAAGCUAUGAUCACAACAGAAAACACGUGUGCUAAUUCUGACUAAACAAUAAAACCUGUGAUACGUAUUUUUUCAAUAACAGCAAACAUCUUUUUCUACCAUUCUCGUGAAAAUGCUAAGCGAAAAAACUCAAAACUCGACCCCCUUGUUUUGUAAUUUGAUUAAAAAUUAUUUCUUACGCUUUUCACCCCCCAAAAACAAUUCAAACCCCCUAUAUGAAGCCUCUCAACUCUCUACAAUUCCUCACAUGAAAUAAAAAAUAAAAAAAUAAUAAAUAAUAAUAAAAUAAAAACUUCUUUGCACGAGUUAAUUUGUACAACAAACAUGAAUUGCUAGCACAAGUCCAAUCACAAUUUGACUUACCAUCGACCGCCCUUUCAUCACGGGAUUGUUGACCACACCAUUCGCGGCCCCAUUGGAGCUCCCACUUCCUCCACUCACCGCUGCGCUGCGAGGCGGGUCACGCGUCACCACGGCCCGCGCCCGCCCGGAAACCUUACCGAUCAAUCCCGACUUCCGCCCAAACGGCCUCACGAAGCAGCUCGACGACGGACUCAAGAAUUGGGACUGCGACGACCUCAACACUUGGGACACGCGAUUGCCUGUCCUCACCUUCCCACAAGCCUCCAACCCAGUUCCCAUCUUCGCCCUAAAUGUCGCACACAGAACACCGUCACGCAGGCAAUACUCUCACGAAACCCACCUCAAAAGACGCUCUCGCUAACAAAAACUCCCGCAACGAACUCCUCACAACUCUCCCGAGAUGCGCUUCUUCACCUCAAAGCCUCUUCCUCGCGUGAGCUACAGCCCCAAUUCCUACAACACUACUCCCACACAUCCUUCCUCAAAUCCCUUUCUCGAAUCUUUCUCUCAAACCUCUAUCUCAAAUCUCGCUCUCUCUUUCUCUCCACAACACGUCGGGCAAGGUAAGGUUCGUCUCGAACACGCACACCAUCUACUGCGACAAAUUGCAACCCAAUUUUUGUCCUGGGCCCCAGCCAGAUUCACGAAGCCCGUGGCCCUGAAUUGAAUCUAUUUCCGCCCUCUCGCUAGCUCGCAGCCUCUCCGCGGGGGACAUGCUUGCAACGAAUCGCGGCCUCAAGGGCGACCACGUAAUGAGAACCGAUGCCGUUGGAUCUUCCAACCGGGAGAUCUGAGCCUUCGAUGUCUGCCGAGAUGGGGAGACCUUGUAUUGAAGGGAGAGGCCAGGAGUGAGCCACCAAGGGUGGAGUCCACGUCGGAUUUCCACGUUGGCCUAUAAUGCUUACGUGGACGGGUCCUUGUGGGGGGGGGGGUUGUGGGUUUGUGGGUGAUCGAUCUCCACCACAUAGAAAUCUAGUUUCUGUGUGUUUUCUUUUUACUAAUUCUGGGAUAUAUUAUUUUUAUGUAUAGAUAGAUAGAUAGAUAGAUAUAUAUAUAUAUAUAUAUAUAUAUAUAAAUUUGGAAAAUAAACUAGAAAUAUGUCUUGAUAUGUAAUUCAUUAUAUGUGUUGAAAUUAAUGUAAAAUAACAAAAUUGUACAUGGGUAACAGGAAAUAUGUGUAAAUCUUUUAUCGGAUUCAUUUUCAAGGUUUUCUAAUAAAAUAUUUGAACAUGUAGUAAAUGAAUAAAAUAAUUCUCUAAUGCUAAUAUUGCACAACAAUAUAAAACAUUAGAAACACGUUAUAGUGAAAAAAGUAUAUAUCUAAUAGUUGUUUAUACAAAAGUAAGAUUUUCAUUGCAUUGUACUUUCUAUUUCUAUUUUUAUAUUGCAAAAACGUAUUGAGUAAUUUUUAACUUCGUGAUAACCCAAUAAAGCAUUUUUUAAAUAUCUUCAUUAUUAUGCCACAAGUAAUUUAUUUAAAACACAAAGAAAAGUAAAGUAAAUCCCAACAGUAUUAGCAGUAAAACAGUACGUUUUGUUAUCUUCAUAUUCUUAAAAGAGUCCUAUGCAUUUAUGUAUUUUUUUUAAAAAAAUCAUUGGUUUGUUACUGACUUGAAAAUGGGUUAUGAACCAAAAUUCCUCUACAACUUCAAUAUUACCAAGCUUUAGCCAGAGUUUUACAAAUCUUUUUCGGUACUUGUGGUAAAUUUGUAUAGAUUUUAUACAUUCAUUUUUUAUUAUUAUUAUUAUUAAUGCUUUAUAUACAUCAUAAGCUUAUGAAAUGAGUUUAAUUUUUUCUUGAAAAUUCCUCCAGAUUUUAAUGAUAAAUUAUGAUCAUUAUGUAGAAAUUAAUCUAUAUUUUCUUGUAAUAAAUGUCUUGUCACUUCACCAUGAUUUUUUUUUAAUUAUAUUUUAUAUAUCCAAUUGCUAUCAUAAUCAUGUUUUCGGUAUCAUAAAAAAUAUGUUUAGCAUAAUGAAUAUAUUUAUAAUAUACAGUGCUAUUUUAAAAAAAAACAUUUACUUGCUUCAAAUUUACCUACCAUUUGCUUUUAAUAUUUUUAAAUAUUUAUUUUCACUUACAUAAAUAAAAAAUCAGGUAAAUUUUUAUUUUGUCUGACAUGACAGCAAACCCCAACGUGGACUUUUAAACAAGUUGUACAACUAAAAUCUUAUUAAAUACUUUGUAUCUUUAAUGAAUAUAUAUACAAGUUAUUGUAUCAAUAAUUUGAGUAAUCUCUCGUAUUCAAAUAAUAAAGACAACUAGUUAUGAAUGUCAUACUUUUUCAUUCUUUAUAUACCAGCAAUAUUUGCAUGCUGACAACAUAUUGCAUUAUUAUAUACAAGCACCAAAACAACAAGAAGUUUUUAUUCCUUUGCUUCAAUAAUGUUGAAAUUUCUCAAAUAAUGAUAAUAAUAAUUAAACAUAAAAGGAAAACACAAACUGUAUAUGUAAAUAAAGGAAUAGAGUUCAGAUGAGCAUAAAAAUAUUGAAGAAGAGGAUAAAGAUCAAAAAAUCAUUUAAAAUUUUCGUCUCUAACAAAAAAAAUUAAUGUGGUUCCUUCAGCAAUUUCUUCAAGCUUCUACUGUCUCUAAAGGCGGGCGCUUUUAAAUAAUGUUUUUUUCUGUAUUAAGCAAAAGUCCUACAUAACGCUUUUAUAUCAUGUUUAUUAAAGUAGGCUUUUGAUUGUGAAAAUCCUAUCUAUAGACCAAUAUUCAACACAUCAGUGUAAUUCAAAUAAAAAGUUUGAUUAACUUAAGGUAACUUAAUUAUUUAUUUUUUAUAGAUUAUAAUUUAAAAUAAUUAUAUUUAAUUUUAAUUAUUAUAAAGAAAUGAAUAGCUGUAAAUAUUGAUAAUAGACAUUAACAAAAAUUCAAAGCAUUUACAAUAACAUUCAAUUAAGAUAUCUUAAUAAGUAUGAAUUUACAUGUGUAAACUUCAACAAUUUUUCUGUCAAUCUGAUUAGUUUAAUUUUUUUCUUAAAUGUUUAAAAUUAUAUUUUAAAACAUAAAAAAAAACAUGUAUUUUCACCAAAAAUGUAUAUUUUUAUUUUUUUAUUGUCUUAAAUCAAUAGUGUAUAAUAUUCUUCUUGUAUUGAUAAUACUAUUUAAGUGUAUAUGUCUAUAUGAAUACAUAUACAUAUACAAUUGUUAAUAUUUCUGAUUGCAUUUUCUAUGACAAAAAAAAUUAGUUGAUUAAAAAGAUUAUUGUGAAGGUCACAUAAGGAAGGAAUCAAACUUUAAAAAAUUAAAAAUAAAAUUAAAAAAUGGAUAUCAUGAUAUAUGUCUUCUUGAUUUCAGCAUUGAUUUCAAAGGAUUAAGUACUUAUAUCAAAUAUGAUGUAACCAUCUCUAAGAGGUGGUUAUAUCAAAUAUCCACAUCUCAUAUCAAAACAUAUUUGUUUAGCAACAGUCUAAAGUCUUGCAAAAUUGCUUUGAAAGAUUGCAAAACAAUCAUGCGGUGAGUAUUUUGUCCAGUGAAUCGAUCAUGUGGUGGAUGUUUUGCAAACUUUGCAGUCUAACAAUUAAAAACAAGCACAGCAAUUUAAAGAAGAAUUCACUUUACUAAUUGGGUGUUUUGUUCAGUAAAUCAAUCAUGUUGUGGGUGUUUUGUCUAGUGAAUUGAUAAUUAUGUAGUAGGUGUUUGAGCGGGAUGAACUCAGAUCUUUGUUGCAUUUUCUAUGCAGCAUUAAAUCUGGUUCAACAGUGAGUGCUUGAUAUUACAAAUCGUCUACAGCUUCAAGCUCAAGGCCAUGGUGUUUGUAAGCCGUAAGAUGCAAGCUUCUCUAAUGUUUUCCACAACAUUCUGAAAGAGAGAGGGAGGGUUGUAUGGUCUGUACAAGGAACUUGAUCCAGGUUGAGAGAAUAAACCAUAUCGAAAUAAUGCUUUACUAAAAUAACAACAACAUAAUUCAAGUAUUAAUAUGUGUUAGUAUAAGUAUAGAAAGAGCAUAGGGGGUGGGCCACUUGUGUCCAUAAUAAGUGGAUCUUUUAUCUUAAUUUCUAAACCUCGUAGAUCUCAAUACUAAUGAUAUUUAUCAAGAGACAUUGAGUAGGGAUAAAUGUCCCAACACCUUCCUUCACAAUAAAAUUGUCUAUAAUGAAGAAGAUCAAGAAUAAAUGUGCAACUAUCUCCGAGAGACUUAAACAAAACAUCAUACAUAUUUGAAAUGGAUAUGAUCUAGUUAGUAGUCUUAAUUUUGCCAAUAGUAUUAACAAUUAUUUUUCUAGAGACAUCAAGAUACAUUCAUUAUAAUGUCUUUUAGUAAUUAAUAAUAAUAACUCUUGCUACCAUAUUCUUGACCAGUUGCAUAACAUACAAUAGAAAAAAAAAUGAGUCAUCAAAUAUAGAAGUUGGAUCUAAACUUUGUCCAAGUGAUGAUCUAUUAAAUAAUAUUUGUGAUAAUCUAUAGGUUUCUUUAGACGUUGCCAACUUAUUAGAUAGAGACAGUAUUCUAUUGUUUCCUAAAAAUGGUCCAUAUAAUGUCUACUACAAUAAUUUAAAGCUAUAAGGAUUUUCUCUAUAUGAUCCAAAAAAGAAUGUAUUGACCAACUCUCAUAGAUAUGUCUUCUAUUAUAACAUUGCAAAUUUUUCAACUGAGUUACUACAAGCUAAUUAUUCUAAAAAAGAAAAGAUUUAUCAAUUAAAAGAUGCUUCUCUUCUAAAGAACUCAAGGUACAAGGAAACUUGUUAGUCUUCUAAUUCUUCUAUAUAAAGAACUUGAUCUAAAACAUUGCAUUUUAGAUGUUUUUUAAAUUGGAGAUUUGCCAAAGAAACAUAUUUUUCCAAAUUAUAAUUAGUGAGAGAGAUUGAAGAAGAGAUAAGAAUUUUUAUAGUGGAAGAAGAUCUUUUUCAUGAGAGCCUUGGACAAUCACAAAAUGUAGCAAAGUACUUGUUCAAAUUACCUCUAGAGUUCACACUGCAACUAAUAGUGUAUUAAUUACUUCAACAUCCUAAGGCAAAUGAUGGUAUAUACAGAUUGCUACAAUUAUUAAAAAAGAUGCAUGAAGAAUGGAAACAUUCAAUAAUUGAUGCUAAAUAGAAUAAAAAUAAGGUAGUGAGGAUAAAAAGAUUAGAUGGCUAGGUUCUCCUAUUUUUGACUCUAGAAUAGAAUUGGAUGAUAGAGGCAUAUUAAUAUGAAUUAGCUUUAGAAGAAAAGAUGAAAUAAAUAUUCUAAAGAAAGCUAAAGAAAGAGGAGUAAUAUAGAUAGUAGGUGGUAUUAAACUAUGUGAAUGAGAACAUAGAUUAUAUAGUAGUUAAUGAAAUGAUGUUGAGUUUAAUUUAUUUAUUUUUGAAUAGUCCUUGUCCUAAGGGCUUAAUAAAUAUAUUUUCUUAUUUUAAAGAAAGAACAUAUUUCAAUUAAACUUUGUCAAUUUCUAUCUUCUUACAAGUAAAGUGAUGGAUUAUAGAAAUAUGCAUUAUUUAAAGACUGAUAUCAAGAUUUGUGGACAUCUUCAUACUCCUUUUAUUAACAUAGUAUACAAUGAUAGCUUUGGAUAUGUUGAGAUAAAAAUCUUAAGUUAAUUUUUUAAGCCAUGCAAAUUUAUGAAAUAUCAUAGAAAGAUCCAAGUAUUUAGCUUUGGUUAAAAAAAGUACAAUAGUUGCUUGUUUUUUAGACAUUGAAGUGUUUAAACUUUGGCCAAUCAACAAUAAAAUCCAUUGUUGACUAGCUAUUAAUUAAGUCUCCUAUCUAGUUAGUAUUUGUGUAGCCUAAUAUAAUAUAAUUACAAGUGAUAAAAUAGAUGAUUUUAUAAUUAGAUGGACCUAUAAUAUAACAAAUAAUUUGUUAAGCUCCUAUUAAAAAAGACACUUGAGGUUGAUUCAUGAAUUUUCUUAUAAUGCCAAUUGAGAUAAGUCCAAUAAAAUAUGAUUGAAUUGUACUAAUUUUCUAAUCAUGUCUUUAUAAUAGGUAAAAUCUAUUGUAUCUUCAUGAAUUUUAAGGAUUAAUUUUAGGUAUUCUACCAUAGGUGGAACAAUGGUUUGGCAUCCCUCUAGUUCAUAAUAUUUCAUUGCCUCUUGUACAUAGUUUUUCUAUAUUAUGAAUAUGCCAACUAGAAUACAAAAGAUUUCAACAUUGAGGUACAACAUAAGAUUUCUAUCAUCAAGUUCUAUUAUUUCAUAUUUAAUUUGUGGUGUAGUCUUAAAUCAAACAAUCUAAUUAUUAUAGUUGCUCGUAAACAUAAGAUCAUCAACAUAUAAUAAUAAGACCAAAACAAAUCUAUCAUAAUGCACUAAGUAGAAAUUAUAGUGUUUUUUUUUUAAUCCUUGGUCUUUUAAACAUGUAUCAAUUUUAUUAUUUCAUAUCUUUGGAACUUAAUAUAGGCCAUAGAGAUCCUUGUAUAGUCAACAUAUUAGAUGGUCAUGUCUUGCAAUAAUAAAAUCUUAAAGUUGACUGAUAUAUACUUCUUCUUAUAGAUUAUCAUGUAAGAAAGUUAUUUUAAUAUCCAUAUAUCAUGGACAUACAUAUUUAUUCUAAUAUUUAUCUAUAUGAUUAAAUAGAAGUUAAUAAAAAUAGAUUUAUUUCAUAAUAUUUUCUAGAAAGCUUCUUAGAAGCUUUAUAGAUACUAUUUUGACUUUAUAUAUGUUUGUAGUUAAUUGGUAGGUUAGAAACAUGGUCAACAAGUUAAGCAUGUACUCAUAUCUUGUAAAAUAAGUUAAUUAUAUAGCAUACAUAUAAAAAACUUAUCUUACAAGUUAAGAUAUGUCUUCUGCAAAGUCAACACAUUUUAGAAGUCCUAUAGGAUAUUGCUACAUUGAUCCUAAUUAAAAAUAUAUAUAUAUAGAAGCAAGAGUGAAGCCUUCUUCACUCUUAUCAAUAACUUUUUAGUUCUUAGUCUUGUUUUAAGAUUUUUUAGUCUUCUUAUCUUUGGCAAUAGCCAUUCUAAUUUAAUAUUAUAUCAUUUUAAAAUAAAUUUUUAGUCUUUUUGAAUAAUAUAAGAAUGUAUUGGCAUUUUAGUUUUUUGAAGUUCAUAUCUUUGAUAAUUUGAGAAGAGUACUAAUUCAUUAUUUUUAUCUUUUUUUAGAAGUGAGUGGAUUAUCUCACUUCUAUUAUUAUAUUUUGAAGGUUGCAAAUUAUCCACCUUUAAUUAAACUAUUCAAUUUUCUAACACUAUUUUAUUUUAUUUUAUUUUAUUUUUAAAGUUGAUUAUCCAUCUUUUGACAUUAGAAGUUGCAUAUUACCAUCUUCUAAGUUGACUUAUAGAUUUAUUAAGUUGCUAGAAAUAUUAGAAAAAAUUAUGGACACUUUACUUAGUGGAAGUGAGAAUAGACUUGCAACUAUUACAAAUCUUUACAAACUUGUCAAAAUCCCUAAGAUGGAAAUUUUAUGCAUCACUAAUACUAACCAUAAAAACAUUAAUCCUAUGCCUAUGGAAAAAAUUCAUAGUAUGCAUCAAGAAGUUGUACAAUUAAAAGAAGUAAGUAGAUCAACUUCACAACCAAAUCCAAGAAGUUUUACUUUUACAAAUAUAAUAAAGACAAGGAAUAAUAUACCUAAGAAGUUUUUUGGAACAAAAUCAAAACUUUGAAGAUUUUUACAACAAAUCAAAUUCUAUCUAAGAUUGCUUUUCUUUCAAUACUUGAAUGGAUUUAUUCAAGUUGGAUUCAUAGGCUCAUUUUUAUUUCAAAGUAUUUUGUCUUGGUUUGCAUCUUUCAUAGAAAAGAAUUCACGGCACCUUUAUAAUUUGGAUUCAUUCUUAAAAAUAAUUAUAAUUAUAUUUAGAAAAAGUGAUUAAAAAAGAGUAGUAGAAAUUAAGCUCUUAUUUUUAGAAUAAGGAAUAUGGUUAGCCACUAUAUAUGCUAUUAAAUUCUAAAACCUUACUUGUGUUAUAGACUGGAAUGACAAAGCCCUUAUCAAUCAAUUUUAAUAUUGGUUAAAGGACAAUGUCAAAGAUUUAUUAUUGACAAUUCUAAAAGAAAAAUUAUUAAAAUAACUCAUUUCUCAAGCCAUUGCAUUCAAUAAUUUAUUAUUUAAAAGAUAUUAAAAACAAAGAUUUGGUUGAAAAAAAACAAGUCAAGUAAUGAUGGCAAUUCUUAAGUUUUCAUAAACUUAUUUACCAAAGCCAAAACCAAUGCAAAUUGAUAUGGUGAUAUUCAAAUUAAACAGACUUGUUGUUAUCAAGAAGGUUUGUGUCUAUAUUGUGAAGAAUCCAAACACACUACUCAACAUUUUCCAAAAAAACAACUCAAUCACCAAAUAAAGAACAUGAUUACUAAAGAUGAUAAUGUAUUGGUGUCAUGAUGUAAUAGAGCUAAUGAAUGAAAUAGAAAAGAUAUUAUAUUAUAAAAUAUCUUAUUUUAAAAUAUUAUAAUAAAUUAUCUUAGAAAUACAAAUAAUAAUUAAAAAGAUAGUAAAACUAAAAAAUACUAAUAUUACCUUUUUAUAAAAUAAGCUUCUACUUACUUUGUAGAGCCAUGAGUAAGAGAACAAAAGUAGAUUAGAAAAUUAAAUAAUAUAAACAUGUAUAAGAAGGAAUUAAGAUUAGAUUUUAGUAAAAUUUACCUUAAGAAGCCAAGAUUUGAUAUCCAAAGAGACUAGUUGUCAACAUGGCUCAAAAUCAAACUCUAAGGUACAAAACCACACACUUAUGGUGAUUCUAGGAUUUUUUGGUAGAUUAGAAGAUAGGAUUUGAGGGCAGAUUUGAAGAGAGAUUUUAAGACAUUGAUUUCAUAUCAUUUAAAUCAAUAUUGAGAUUCUAAGAGAUUUUCAAAGUUAGUAAUGUUCUUAAUGGAAUUAGGAUUUGAGAAAUAAAAACAAAUUUAUAAAUUUGAGGGUUUCUUGAGUUCUAUGGUGUAUAUAUAGAUGAAAUUUGAGUAAUAUGUUGAUAUGAUACUUAUGAAUGUGUUUGCAAAUUUUUAGAUCAAUUUAAUAUUUUGAUUGAAGUAAAUGAGGAUUUUUGUGGAUUGAGGUCUCAGAAAUUGGAGUUUGAGGGUUAGUAAGUAUUUUUAAGAUCUUUAGCAAUUCAUUAAUUAGAUUGGAAUAAAAAAAAUUUAUAUAAAUACUAGAAUCAAUUUCCAAUGUUUAGGUGAAAUUUGGAAGUAAUUCAAUAAUUCAAGAAGGAGAUAAUGGCAUUGAAAGUUUAGUAUUUAGGUUGGAAUUGGAAGCCAUCUAAUACUUGAUUGGAUUAUCUUGCAUUUCUUUCAAUUAAUAAGUACAACCAAUUUCAUCUUUUUUAUACUUAUUUUUAACUAAAUUAUUAAAAAAUAUACAAAUUUUGAAUUGAUAUCAAUAAUUUGAUCAUUUGUUAUUAAGAUUCUAUCUUGCUACAGAAUUUAAUAAAAUUUUGUUUAAGAUUUAAGAUUUAAUUAUGAUUUUUUUAGGAAUUUAUUAGGGUUUGAUCUAGGAUUUGGUUAAGAUUUAAUUAGAAUUUCAGUUAGGAUUGACCUAAGAUUUGAUUAAGAUUCAAAUAAAGUUUUAAUUAGGAUUAUAUUAAGAUUUUUAUUUUUAAUAUUUUUAAGAAUUCUUUGUUUUUUUGUUAAAUUUUUUAUUUCUAAUAUUUAUGAAAAUAUUAUUUUUAUUUCUUUAAAUUUAUAUUUUUAUAUUUUUUAAAUAUUUCUGAUUAUUUUUCUUUAAAAUUAAAUCAUGAAUUUUUUGUGUUUUAUUUGUGACUUCUUUUAAAUUUAUUUUAAUAUAUUAAAGUUUGAUUAGGUUUAUUAGACAUUAUUUAAAGUUUUUUUUAGGCUUUAUUUGACAAAAUGAAUGAAUUGCACUUAAAGAAUAUAUUGAUAAAAAUUUUCCUAAGAACUUUAUACGCCAUUCUAACUCUCCAACUGAGGCUCCUAUCUUAUUAGUGAAGAAAAAAGAUGGAUCUUUGCAGAUGUUUAUAGACUAUCAAGGACUCAACAAGAUCACCAUCAAGAAUAAGUAUCUUCUACCCUUCAUUUUAGGACUUCUUCAUCAACUAAAUCAAGCUAGUAUCUAUACUAAAAUAGAUCUAUGAGGAGCAUAUAAUCUAAUAUACAUUAAAAAAUAAAAAAAUAAAAAAUAAAUAAUUAUAUUUCAAACUAGGUAUGGACAUUUUAAAUAUAAUGUCAUGCCUUUUAGAUUAACAAAUGUAUCAACUAUUUUUUAGCAUCUAAUGAAUAGUAUCUUUUAUAAAUUUUUUGAUGAUUUUUUUAUUUAUAAUUUAGACAAUAUCCUCAUCUACUCUAAGAACACAGAAGAGCAUGAACUUCAUAUUUGUCAUGUAUUAUAAAAAUUAAGAUGUGCGGGAUUAUAUACCAAGAUGAAAAAGUGUAUAUUUCACACUAUUCAAGUUGACUUCCUAGGAUACAACAUUUCAAAUGAUGGUCUUAUGAUGGAUUUUAAUAAGGUCCAAAUUAUUAUAAAUUAGACGAUCUCAAAAAUAAUCAAAGAUGUGUGAUAUUUUUUGAAAUUUAUUAAUUUUAUCAAAUCUUCAUCAAUUUUUUUUUCAAGUUAUAGCUUGUUUAUAUGCCUAACAUGUAAAGACAAACUUGAGUUAAGCAAUGAAGUUGAAACAUCUCUUGAAGCUUUAAAGACAACAUUUAUUUUUGCACCAAACUUAUAUUGCAUUGACUUUUUUAAGGUAUUCUUCAUAGAAACAACUGUAUUAGACUUUGCCAUGGAUAUUGUUUUGUCACAAAUGAAAGCAAAUGACAAGUACCACUUGGUACUUUUUUAUUCUAGGAAAUUUUUAAUAAUUGAGAUUAAUUAUGAGAUUUAUGACAAAGAACUACUUAUAAUUAUAGAUUUAUUUCAAGAAUAAUAUUAUUAUCUAAAAAAUACUUCUGAUUUAGUUACUAUGUAUAUAAAUUACAAGAACCUUGAGUACUUUAUGUUGAUACAUUUUUUGAAUUGUUGCCAAGCCUAUUGGAAUAUGUUCUUAUCAAGUUCACUUAUUGAUCCAAAAAACAAUAAGGCUUAUUAGACAUUCUUUUUAAAUAUUUUUAUCUUACAUUGAAAAAAAAAAUAUAACUUUUAAUCAACAAAGAAUGAUUUUCUUGAAGCCAAAGUAUUUUCAUCUUUGAAUAAUAAAAUCAACAUUGAUUAUUGAUUUAAUCUUUGUCAAGCAAAUUCAAUCAAGUAUAUACUUUAAUUUUCCUAUUUAUAAUAUGAAGAAUAAUUCUUCUAAAUCUUAUAAUACUUCCAAGUUAGAAUUAAAGAUUAAUCUACUUUAUUUUGAGAGACAAUUAUAUAUUCGAGAAGAUGAAAUACAAUUAUGUAUUUUUCAAGCUCGUCAUGACUUUCCAAUAACUAGAUAUUUUUUAUAGAAUAGGACUUUGGAGCUAAUAUUUAGAUAUUUUUAGUAGCUUCAAAUGUGAAAGGUAGUUAAAGACUUUGUACAAUGAUGUAAUAUUUUUUCAAGAUCAAAAAUUCCUUGGCAUCAAUUUUAUAGACUUUUCUAGCUAUUACCUAUUUCAAACCAAUCAUGGUCUUUUAUUUCUAUGGAUUUUAUCACAGAUCUUUUAAUCUUAGAUUUGUGUGAUUCUAUAUUCAUGAUUGUAGAUUUUUUUAUUAAGAUGGCUUAUUUUAUAUCAUAUAUAAAAUCUAAUAAAAGUAAAAAAAUAGCUAAAAAAUUUCUUGAUAAUAUCUAUUGCUAUCAUGGAUUAUUCAAAGAUAUUAUAUUGAAUAAAAGAACUUAAUGUAUAUCAAGAUUUUUGAAAAUAAAAAUUUAACAUUCUAAAGAUAGAUAUAAACUUCUCUUUGACUUUUGAUCUUUAAUUAGAUAGGCAAAUAGAAUGUGUGAAUUAAGUUAUAUAGUAAUAUUUGAGGUGUACCAUCAAUUAUCAUCAAAAUGAUUGCAUAACUCUUUUGCCAUUGGCAAAAUUUAAGAACAAUAGUUUUGUAUAUUUUUCUAUUCAAGAAACAUCUUUUUUGGCUAAUUAUAUUUAUUAUCCAUGACUUGAUACUUUUGACUUUUAGAAAAUUAAUAAUCCUAUAGUAAAAACUUUGGAAAAUCAUUUAUCAAAACUACAUGCAAUAAUAAAAGUGCAUUUAAAGGAAGUUCAAGAAUAGCAAAAAAAUAAUGCAGAUGACUAUCGCAAGUUUAAUAUUUAGAACCUCAAUAUCUAUUGAUUAUAUCAUUGAUCUUUUUUGAGAUUUUACACACCUCUCAAUAAUUAAGUUGGAAAAAAAUACACAAAAUUUGAAGAAGAUCAAACUUACCAAAUAGAAGAUCAAACCUAAAUUUUUCUCCGGUAUUGGUUGGCCUGCUACUCCAAUCUAAAAAUUGAACUUCCAAUACCAAUAUUUCCUUUUUGAACCAUUGAAUUGUCUCCAAAAUGUGCCUAAAUUGUUAGAAAUCAAGUCUAGUCUCCAUACAAAAAAAAUCACUUGAAGCCAAUUAAUAAAUUAUUAAAUAUCUUAAAAAUAUUCAUCAACUCUCAAAUUCUAAUUUUUGAGACCUCAAUUUAUAAAAACCUUCAUACACUUCAAUCUAAUUAUUUAAUUGAUUUCAAAAUUUUCACAUGCACUAAAAAUUAAAAUACCAAUAUAUUGACCAAAAUUCACUUAUACUCACACCACAAAAUUCAAAAGACCCUCAAUUUUUUGAACAUAAUUUUAUUGUUUAAAAUCUAAUCCAACCAAGAAAAUCACUAACUUUAAAAAUCUCCCAAAAAUUAAAUAUUAAUUUGAUUGAUAUAAAAUCAAUGCUUAAAAAUCUCUUUGUAAAUUUGCUAUCAAAUAUUUACUCUUUAAUCUAUCAAAGAAUCUUAGAGUCACUGUAAGUAUGAGGUUUUGUGCCUUAGGAUCUGAUUUUGAUCCAUAUUGACAACUGAUCUUCUCCAAGUAUCAAUAUUUGGUAAUUUGAAGUAAUUUUUACUUGAACCUAUUGAUAACUCUCUUCUAAAUAUAUAUAUAUAUAUAUAUAUAUAUAUAUAUAUAUAUCAAUUACUUGCUUUUGAAUAUCUUGAUUUGAUAUAUAAUAAUUGAAUAUAUUGAUUUUAAUAGAUGUCAUUGAUGCAAAGCAUUAAUCUUCUUUGGUAUAUGUGCAAGAUUCUUUGUUGGCUUUCUCAUGUAUUCACUAAUAUCAUAUUUUUACCAAUAAAAAAGAUAUACUAACCUAUUUUGGCACUGAUUUAAAUCUAAGACUUCUUCUACCUCAAAUUCUUGAUUAUUAUCUACUUCUAUAAGAGGAGGUGAUAUAAUAAUAUAUUUGCUUUUGAAUAUCUUGAUUUUCUAUAAAAAAAAAGAAGAUUCUAAUUUCUACUAUUGAUUGAAACUUCUAUAUUUUUGUAAUACUAAAGAGAUUGAAAAUCAAUAACUAGCAAAUUUAAUUUUAGAGCUAUCAUUUGUACACUUAUUAUAUAAGACAUUAUAAUUAUUACAACCUUCAAGACAAUAUAAUUAAAAUAAAGAUCUUUAAGAACAACAUGUCCUUUGAAUAGAUGGUGAGAUAUAACAUGUUUAAUAUUAUGACCUUAGAAGAAAUUUUUAAUAUUUGAUGAUUUUAUUAAAGGUAGGAAUGACUCUUGUUGGUAUUUUAAAUGUUUUAUUUGAAAAAAGCUAAAAAGGCCUUAACAACAAUCAAAUAAUAUGGUGGUCUAUUCAUCUUAGUAUAAAAUACCAUCAAUGGUUGAAAAGACCAAUUAACCAUCUUUAAAGAGAAUAAAGAUCAGAGUAUGUGGCAAAUAGAAUUUAUUGCAUCUUAAAUUUUUUCAAUAUAUGAUAAUUCAUCUUUGUAGAACUUGUUUCUAAAAAGAGGUAAUAUCAUAGACUUACAUAUUUAUCCUAAUAUUUAUCUAUAUAAUUAAGUAGAAGUAGAUAAAAGUAGAUUUAUUUCAUAAUAUUUUUAAGCAAUUAAGUGACAUAAGUACAUAUUGAGAAUUGUUUUUUUCAAAAUUCAUGUCUUUGAUACCAUGUGACAAAGUGACUAAUUGUUUUAUACAGCAAGUGCAAGCAAAAGGCAAAUAAUAUCCUACUUUAUGACUAAAACAAAUGUUUAUAUAUAAUCUAGUCCUUUCUUUUGUUCAAAAUUUCUUGUAAUUAAUCUUGCUUUAUUUUUUUAGAGAGUGUCAUCAAUUCUACAUUUUUCUUUGUAAAUCCACUUGAUUGAUAUAAGUUUCUUCUAUGGUAGAAGCUUUAUAAUAAUCCAUGUAUUAUUAUCAUAUAUAGAUUUUAUUUUAUCCAUCAUAUUUGCUUAUCAUCUGAGAUUGGUGGUGACUUCUUGAUAAGUACUUGGUUUGGUAGAGAGAUCUAAUAGGCCACAAAACUAGUCUUGUAAAUAGAUGGAUCAUUUGAUAGUACGACAAGAAGCACCAUUUAGUAAGAUAAGAUGUAUUGGAAUAAUUUUUUUUAAUCCAUUGUGAUUGAGUAUGGCAAUAAGCAGAUUAGUGAUAUUAUAUAGAUUAUUAAUAUAAGAUGAUAAAUCAUUAAUUGCAUCAAAAUUUUGUUAUUCAUUAAUAUUGUCAAGAUUAGUAUAAUAUGAGGAAAAACAUUUCUUACAUAAUGAAUUAAGUUUAGGAGCUAAAAUUGGUAUUUUUAUGUUAUUGGUAGUAGACUAUUGAUCAAAGAGAGUUAUAACAUCUAAUUAUACAGCAAUUGAAAUUGGCUCAAAAGCAAGCUCUGUUGGUAAUGGAGUAGUUGCAUGGCUUAAUGUUUGUAUAAGCUCAAAGCAAUGUCCAAAGCUUAGAGCUUGUAUAGAUUUACAAAUGGACUCUAAUAAUGAUAAUAUAGCUAUAGGUUGCAGUUCUUUUGUUGCUAACAUUGACAUUAGAUAAUGAUGUUGCUUUAACAUAGAUGUGGCUUUUGGUCUUCCAUCAAAAUCAUUCUUAUUAUCAAAUUCUUUGUAGGUAAAAAAGACCUUGAUUCAAGGCAUUAAGUAAUUAAAAGGUAAGAAUUGACUUUAUAUCAUUAGUCUUUAGAAAUUUGGUUUCAUCAAAGAUUACAUUGUAAAUUAUUUAGAUCUAACAAAGUCUUAAAAAAUAUACAAAAUAUGCCAUUAAUUCAUAUUUUAUUUUCAUAUAUAGUCAUAUAUGCAAUCAUGGAUCUAUUUUAUAUUAUUUUAUAUCAUUGUAUAAAAUAUAGCACAAACAUCCAAAUAUCCAAAAAACAUUUAAUCAAACUUAAUGCCAAAAAAUAUCUCAUUGAAAGCAAUUUUAUUAUUGUCUUAUCUAGAAUUUGUAUUAAUGAUCAACAUUAUAGUCCUUAUAGCCUCAAUCCAUAGAUAUUUAUGAACUUUAUCUCCAAUCAAUAUUGUACGUACUUUGUUGAAGAUAGUGUCAUUCUUUUUUUUUUGAUUCUUCAUUCUAUUGAGGCAUACUAGUAGUACUAAAUUAUCUCAAGAUACCAUUGUCUUCCAAGUACUAACAAAAUUCUUAAGAAAUAAACUCACAUAUUUUGUCAAAAUAAAGAAAUAGGAUUUUAUAUUGUCUUUGUUUUUCAAUCAUAAUAUAAAAAAUUCUAAACUUGUCAAUUGACUCAUCCUCAUUUAUUAUAAAGUAAAUCCAUAAGUGGUAGCUAAAAUCAUCUGUAAAUAGUAUGUAGUAAUAAGAAUGUCCUAGUAAUUUAAUGAAUAGAAUAUCUUAGACAUUUGUAUGUAUCAAUACUAGAGAAAUUGUAAUCCAAUUAUGAGAUUUUCUAAGAAUUAUGUGAAGUUUUUUUACCUUAAUAACAAGCUAAGUAUAAGAUGUUCUUAACUAAAAAAAUUGAUAACCUAAUAGCUACUCUAUGAGAAUUCAUAAUAGCUAAAUUUCUAGCAUAUAUAUAUAUAUAUAUAUAUAUAUAUAUAUAUAUAUAUAUAUUCUAACCUUUUGUAUCUAAAUGAAGAGAGGUUUUUUGAGGAAAAAUUUAUGUUGUAUAGUUUUUGAUUGUCUUCUAUUAAAGAAGUUGGCUAAUCAUUCAAUUUUGCCUAUUCAAAAUUUUAAUUUUAGAUAUUCUAAUUUAUUUAAUCCAUCAUUUAGAUUUCAUAUUAAUUUUUUCUACUAUCAUGUCUAAAUUCUAAAUUAAUACUAUACUACACUAUGUGAGAUUGAAGAUGUAUAGAUUUUUUACACUAAUGAUUUGACCAACUGAUAGAAUAUUGCAAUAAAAAUUGAGAAUAUAACAAACAUCCCUUAAGGUUUUUAUUUCUUUAUUUGAUCAAGACAAGUCAAUUAUACCUUGACUAGCAAUUCUAUGAUUUUGUCCAAAAAUUGAUAUCAUUGAUGUACUUUGUAAUUUAUCUACAAUAUUAAAUAUUGAACGAUUACUUAAAAAAUAUUUGAAAGCAUCUAAAUCUAUAAUCUAUUGGUUUUUUUUAGCUUUUGUGAUUGCUAAUAAUUCUAAUGCUUGUAACAUGGCUUUGUUAAUAAGUAAAUUUGAUGAGUUUUUAUUGAAUAGUAUUCACCAUAAUAUUCUUCAAUUAAAUUUAUUUAAAGAUUGAUUCUAGAUGAUGAUUUUUCAUAAUUUUUUCUUACAUAAUAGUUAUCUCUUAAUAGGAUUGAUUAAUAUGGUAGAUGUUUAAGAACUUUAUAAAAAUAAAAUAUAUGUUCAUGUUUAUCAUAUCUUCUAUAUAUAAUCAAAGUAUUAUGUUACCUUAGUAAUAAUUUUGAAUGUCAAUAUUAGAAUCUAUUAGAUCCAUAUCAAUUCCAAUGUUCUCAUAAUAAAGUGCUAAAGUAUUGUUCUUCAUAUCAUUCAUUGCUUUGAUAGUAAUGUUGAUUGUAGAUAUUGCAUACUUUCAUUAAAAGUGUUUCAUUAAAGAAUUCAAUAGACUAUUAUAAUGUCACAUUUGUUUUGGUCAAAUGAAUUCUAUUUCAUACUUCUUAUAACAUAGGCAUAAUUUUCUUGGAGAAUAUCUAAGAUAUAAUUUUUUCAAAGCAACAAAUAAGGCAAUUGAAAAUAUUGUGAACAAUCAUCUUAUGUAAUUGUUCUUGAUUUAUUACUUUAAGAUCUUUGAAAACUUCAUUUGUGUGUUGCAUGAAUGUUGAGACAUCUAAAUAUUUAGGUCUUAUAUAUAUAGUUAGGAUUUUUUAAAAUAUUUUCUAAAAUCCAAACUAGUGGGAGGCUAAUUGAAAGGAAUAAAACCAAGCUAUGGUCGGAUGAUGGUAAGGAAUGAAAAACUUCAUCCCUAUUGGUUGAAUACCAUGUCCAAUGGGCUUUGAAGAGGCUGCCUGUGACCUUAACAAGGGUUUUAGUGAAUUCAAAAGGAAAAUUUGGGAAUAAGAAGCCAAGUUUGUAAAAUUUAGGAUUUAGACUACAAUUUUUGUGCAAAAAUUAGAGGAUUUGGAGUUAGGAUGAAGAAGUUAUAGACGUUUGAAGUUAAGGUAUUAAUUUAAGUCAUAAUAUUACUCUUUUGUGAAUACGAGGAGUUGUACGGUAGUUUUUGAAGAUCGAAAGGUGAGUCUGGAAUGGCAAUUUUAAAGCCUACAUCUUUUAUGAAACAAUUGUUGUUUUUAGAAUUCAUUUAAAGGAGAUAUAAGGAGUUGAAGGCGAUGCUUCCAAAUCAAAGGCAGUAAGUGAGUGAUUUUGUUUAUAGUAAUGGUUGGAGCCAUAACUUGAGUUUUUGGACAAAUUUUUAGCUCAAAAUUUUAAGAAAAUGAAAAAUUUUGUGUUAUAAAGCCAUAUAUAAAAAUUUCGUGGCAUUUAAGGUUUUAUUUUGUGACAUAUAAAGAAAAUUGCACGUGGAUGUAUAAAGACAAGGGUUUGAAGUAACUAUUAGGGUUUUCAAGAUAUCUUAAGUUUUACAACGAAUUUGUAGUUGAAAUUUGUUGUAGAAGUUGAUAAGAAUACAUUAGUACUUCAUGUAAAUUUUGAGUAAGUUUGGAUAGUCAGAUCAGGAGUUAUGAGGUAUUGAAGUUCAAAAAAAUUCUUGUUAAAUCUCAAGUCUGUAUUUCGGUGUCCGUGAUAGUUUGUCGAGACUUCACUCACCUCGGAUAUCAGAGCUAGUUUCUUCUUUGUUAGAGUGUGAAUUACCCCUCUGCUUGGAAGUGUACUAGCAUUUUAGAGGUUGCGGAUUACCCUCCUCUAAACUGAUACUUCUUUUGUUACAAUAUUGGAGUCUUAUUCUUCUAGGAGAGAGUGGAUUACUCCUUUUCUUGAAACUCUUAAGGCAUUUUAGAGGUUGCGGAGUACCCUCCUCUAAACCAAUAUUGUCUUUUUGUAGAGUCAUUUCUGUCCUUCUCUUAGAAUGGCCGAGGGCCAAGACAUUAGUAUGACGGAAAGUUCAGAGUCUAAGUUAGAUGCUAUCAUGAAUGCCCUCGCUACAUUAUCGCAAAGAACUGCAGAGAUUGAAGGAGUCGUGGCAAGGCUUCAUAAUGAUGGAGCAUCUAGGAUGGCACAAUCUAGGUUGUACCAACUUCAAACUUCUGCACUUGGAGAAGCAACUUCACCUCAGGUUCGACAAGCACCAGUGGUUCUACAACAUAAGGAGCCCCGAGUUAGCCUUCCAGACAAGUUCGAUGGUACGCGUUCCAAGUUUUGAGGAUUCGUCAACCAAAUCAGGUUGAUAACAGUUUUACAGCCCGAAUACUAUCCAACGGAGGAAUCACGUGUUGGACUUGUUGGAACCUUAUUUACAGGGCAAGCUCUAUCAUAGUUUGCUCCUUUGUUUGAGAAACGAUCGUCCAUACUAAACAACUUUGAAACCUUUUUGGAGGAGUUUGUGGAAGCAUUUGGUGAACACGACAAGAUUCAAUGGACUACAACAAAGAUCUGGUCACUACGACAAGGGAUGCGCUCUACAUCAGUCUAUACAUCGGACUUCAGGCAAUUAGCAUGCGACAUCAAUUGGGACAAAGAAGCGUUGAUGAGUCAAUUCUAUUGGGAUUUAAGGGACGAUGUGAAGGAUUUGCUGUUAACUCUUCCUGAUCCGCAAACGCUCAACGAAGCUAUUAGCCAAGUUGUGAAGUGCGAUAACCGCCUAUUCCAACGUCACCAAGACCAACGUUCAAGACAACAUACGGUUUGCCACACCCCAAUUAUGUCGACAAGCAGCGUGAAUUCACAUUCAGAGAUAAAAGACAUGCAAAUUGAUGCGGUACGUGUCAAAUCUCUUACUCUAGAAAAAAAAAGCGGCGUAUAGAGGAAGGUGUAUGCUUGUAUUGCGGUGAAGAAGGUCACAAAGUUGGAAACCGCCCCAAGAAGCAAAAUCGACGUAUUAUCAAGACUAGGGGCACGUUUAUUCAGGAAAAUAAGGAUGCCCAGCCACAAUAGGAACCGUGCGGCUGGACAGUGAAAUAUCGCAACAACAACCAGGUUCCUUUCUUUCCGCUCAACCUGCCUUUUGUUUUACAAUCCCUCUACUUAUUGGCCCUCAGAAACUAAGAACCUUAGCAUUAUUAGAUUCAGGAGCAUCUGCUCGUUUCUUAGACGAAGAAGUUGCGAAGCGUCAUAAGAUCCCUUUAGUACAAAAAUCCAAACCUAUUCACGUUGAGGUCAUAGAUGGACAACCUUUAUUGUCUGGUAGUGUCAUCCAUGAAUCAGAACCUAUAGAAGUGACGUUUAAAGGCCAUAGUAGUCAUAUUAUUUUCAAUAUUAUUAGAAUCCCAUCAAAUCCUGUUAUUUUUGGUCUUUCCUGAUUGGAAAAGCAUAACCUAUCCAUAGAUUGAAGUUGCGGAAGAUAACCUUUCCCACAAAACCAUCCAAGAGCAAGCCUAGUAGAAAACCCCGAAUAAAAAAAUCCUUAUUUAUUGGAGCAAGAAUGUUUAUAAGAUCGUCCAAGGAAGGCACACCGUUUGUCAUUUAUGCGACUCCAACUACCGGGGAGAAGAUCUCGACAGCAAGUAUACCGGAGCAAUAUAAGGAUUUUAAAGACGUGUUUCAAAAGAAAAAUGCCAACAUGCUACCGGAACACAGAUCAUAUGAUUGUGCCAUAGACUUGCAGGAAGGAGCACAACCGCCUUUUGGCCCAAUCUACAAUCUAUCGCAGACGGAGUUGGCAGAGUUGCAAAAGUACAUCGACGAGAAUCUAGCCAAGAAUUUCAUCCAUCAUUCAAAAUCGUCAACUGGAGCACCCAUCUUAUUUGUGAAGAAGAAAGAUGGCUCAUUGCAGAUGUGCGUGGACUAUCGAGGCCUCAACAAGGUAACAAAGAAGAAUCGUUAUUCGUUACCCUUGAUUUCUGGUCUCUUAGAACAACUUGGACGUGCAAGGAUCUUUACAAAAAUUGAUCUAAGGGGAGCUUACAACCUCGUACAAAUCAAGGAAGGAGAUGACUGGAAGAUAGCGUUCCGUACAACGUAUGGCCAUUUUGAGUAUAAUGUCAUGCCCUUUGGUCUUACCAAUGCUCCAGCUGUCUUUCAACAUAUGAUGAAUGAUAUUUUCCGAGAGCACCUUGAUGAUUUUGUUGUCAUCUAUUUGGAUGAUAUUUUGAUAUUCUCUAAAAAUAAAGAAGAGCGUAAAAAACACGUUCAUUUGGUCUUGGAGAAACUACGUGAGCGAGAACUAUAUGCCAAGUUGAAGAAGUGUUUAUUUCACUAAAUAGAGAUGGAAUUUUUGGGAUUUAUUGCGACUACAGAAGGCUUGAAGAUGGAGCCCAAGAAGGUAGAAGCAAUCGUAUCCUGGGAGGUUACGAAGACGGUUAGAGAUGUACAAUGCUUUCUUAGUUUUACUAACUUCUAUCGGAUCUUUAUCAAAAAUUACUCUCAAGUUGUUGCUCCCCUCACUCGGUUGACAUGCAAGGAUAAGCUGGAAUGGGGACCUCUAGUGAAGAAGGCGUUUCAAGACCUGGAGACCGCAUUUACUACGGCUCCAAUCUUGGUACAUCUAGACUUUACAAAGGCUUUUUAUUUACAAACUGAUGCUUUGGAUUUUGCUUUAGGAGCUGUACUUUCACAAAUGGGAGAAGACAAAAAGCUCCAUCUGGUUGUAUUCUAUUCUCGAAAGUUCUCUGGUGCUGAAAUCAAUUAUGAGAUCCACGAUAAGGAACUUUUUGCUAUAGUGGAUUCUUUCCAAGAAUGGUGUCACUUUCUUGAAGGAGCUGCACAUCUAAUGAUCGUAUACACAGAUCACAAGAAUUUGGAGUAUUUCAUGUCAGCUUGAGUUCUAAAUCGACAUCAAGCUCGGUGGAGUAUGUUGCUAUCUAGAUUCGAUUUUGUUAUCACUUAUCGACUUGGAAAGCAGCAAAGACUAUUUGAUGCCUUAUUGAGGAGAUCCUAUCUUGUACCAAAGGCUGGAGAAGCAGCGUUUGAUCAACAAUGUACGAUAUUCUUGAAGCUACAGUAAUUUUAGCUUUGCGCUACUAUUGUGCUAAUUGAUGAUGACUUCCUGAAUCAGGUAAGUGCCGUGACCAUUGAAGAUUCAGUACCCAUUGAUAUUAAGCAAUAUACCAAUGACGACAAGUUCAAGGUGGAGGGAGAUCUUUUAUACUUUGACGAGCGGUUAUAUAUCCCAAAAGGACCAACACUACUCCGAGUUCUUCAAUCUCGCCACGAUUUUCCAACUGCGGGACAUUUUGGAUUCAACAAGACCUUGGAGCUUAUUUCUCGAGAUUUUUGGUGGCUCCAAAUAUGGAAGGAUGUGAAAGAUUUUGUCCUCUCCUGCGAUAUCUGUUCAAGAUCCAAGAAUCCUCGACAUCGCCCUUAUGGACUCCUACAGCCAUUGCCGAUUCCACGUCAACCAUGAUCUUCAAUUUCCAUGGACUUCAUCACGGACCUGCUAUCAUUGAACUCAUUUGACAGCAUCUUUGUCAUGGUAGAUCGGCUCACAAAAAUGGCACACUUUGUCCCUUGCAAGAAGACAUCAUCUAGUGAAGUCACAAUAAGGCUCUUUCUCGAUAAUAUGUAUCGUUAUCAUGGACUACCAGAUGAUAUCAUAUCAGAUCGAGGAACCUAGUUUGUAUAAAAGUUUUGGAGAUCUCUCUUUGAGAUACUGAAGGUGAAUAUCAAACUUUCUUCAGCUUUUCAUCCUCAAACUGACGGCCAAACGGAACGGGUGAACCAAGUCUUGGAACAAUACUUACGAUGCAAUAUCAACUAUCAACAAGACGAUUGGACCACAUAUCUACCGCUAGCCGAGUUUGCAUAUAACAACACCUUCCAUUCGUCGACUCAAUACACACCAUUCUUUUCCAACUAUGGAUAUCAUCCGAAGCUUGAUUUAUUGAGUCCAUCAACAAAUGACAAUCGAGCAGCUGAAGGAUUUACGAAACAACUAUCAGAGCUUCAAAAUAUGUUGAAGCUUCAAUUACAAUCCGCUCAAGAAUCCUACAAGGCAUCUAUAGAUAGAUUUCGGAAUCAAGCACCUACUUUCAAAAUUGGAGAUAAAGCAUGACUUCUUUGACGGAAUAUCAAGACCAAGCGACCAUGUGAUAAGUUGGACUAUCGAAGAUUAGGACCAUUUAUCAUCCAGAAGCAAAUCAAUCCAGUGGCGUACCAUCUGGAAUUACCGGCUUCUAUGAAGGUACAUCCAGUCUUUCAUGUUUUUCUGUUGGAGCCUUAUCGAGAGUUAUAUUUUCUUGGAAGAGUGCAAUGUCCGCCACCUAGUAUUGAGAUCGAGAACCAUGAGGAAUACGAGGUUGAAAAGGUGUUGGAUUCACGGCAAAGGUGGAGCAAGUUGGAGUAUCUUGUUCAUUGGUACGGCUACGAUAUUAAUGAGCGAACGUGGGAGCUAGUUGAAAAUCUUGCCAAUGCGCCACAAAAGGUAACGGAGUUUCAUCAACAACAUCAUCAUAAACUAAAGCCGGUUUGACGAUAGCUUCGUUCUGAAUUUUACUCACCCAAGAAUAUAAGAAAGGGAGAGAACACCAACAAAAUUCGUAGUUGAUGUAGUUAUUUUCUCCAAGAUAAAAUAGAUUUUUUUGGUAGCCAUAGUUUGGUAUUUUGAUAUGGAUAGCCAAGAGAUAGAUACUAUGCCAGUCAAAUUAUCUCAACCGACUAGCUCACGAAGGCGACCCCGAGAUGAAGAACCACCUGCACCACGACGACGACGGAGGAUACCAAGUAACCGAUCACUGGUGAUUGUAUUUGAGUCCGAGCCUGCUUACGAUUGUCAAUCAGAAGGCAUAUUUGCAAGACAAUUUCACAAUGAAGACACGAAAGUUCAUGCUUGGUCAGAAGUUGAAGGAGUGGGCCAAUAUCGUUGUCGUAUUGUAACACGAGUAUACCGUGAAAAUAUAAAGAAAGGGGACUUUUAUUAAUGUUCAGUUACCUCGAAUAUUGGGAGCAACGACCGACUCCAGUGCAAAUACUGAGUGGCCAGGUUCAGUCACCCCGUUACAGUCAACCGAGGCAUACUGAAAUGCUCCAUUUGAUUCCAAUAACGGGAGUCAACAAGAAGAGAAAUGACCAAUUCACACGACGGGUGAGCCUGGUUCGAAGAGCCAAUUGGAUCCAAUUUCAAGAAUCCAAUCCGGAUCUUCUUACCCAAUAUGAGACCUGAAUUGGCCCGGCAACCCAAUGCAGUCUAAUUAUGGGAAAAUCCAGGUCUUACUACGGGCCUCUUAGCCAAUCUGACGCGAGCAUCCAGGUUACUACGGGCAUCUUACCCAAUAUGAGACCUGAAUUGGUCGGGCGACUCAAUGUGGACCCGAGUAUGGGGUUUCAAUUCUGUUUCAGGUUGUCCUAUUCUCUGUGCCAUUUCAGGGAACGUUGUUUUCGGUUAAUGGAUCUCUUAAAGGUAAAAACAGAGGAGAAAGCUCUGACGACGAGAGCCAAUUUCGGAUCUAAGCCUUGAUGGCGAGAGCCAAUUUUGGAUCUAAGCUCUUACGGUUGGAGCCAAUUUCGGGUCCAAGACGGAAGAUUGAAGAAAUUCAGAGGAUAAGGUUAGGGGAGAGAAUAGAUUGGGGGGGUUUUUUGGAUCGAAGAGCGAGCUUCAAGCUUUUUUUUUCAGGGUUACUAGUUCGGUUUCAUUAGAGGUUUUUUUUUUGAAGAUAGGAGAGAGCUAGCUUCAUGCUUCGGGGUCGGGGAAGAAAAGACAGAGAAUUGGGUUUUUCUUCUUCAUAGGGUUUUGGGAAGACUGAGGCAAUCGUUGCUGAAGUCAGUGUUGUAAUGGUGAAUCGGGAUUUUUAAUGAAGUGGAUGUGAUCACUCUUGACUGUUUUGUGAAAUUGGAGUUACGUCUGUGAUUGGAGAAUUAAAAGGAUGUCUAUAGGAUUGAGUAUGCGGAGUGAAUGAAAUUUAUUGGGUUAAUCUAACAAAACAGUCAGUGGAUACAAGAUCCUAAGUACAAAGCGGUAUCGAAGAUUAACAGUUUGGGUUGUUCGGGGUUCUCUGUAACGUUUAGAGACCUACCCACCGGGACAAAAAGGACUUCGGCGAGCAGUCGAAGGGGCAUCCAUAUAGAUUUACGGUGUAUUCUUGUAGUCAUUUAUAUUCUAACAGUCAAAAACUGAUAGACUGCUUGACUAUUGGCGAAUCUCCAUACUACCUUCUACAGCUAGACGCCCGACGCGUUCUCGAGCAGGAAAGCACAUAAUACGACAUCGUUGGCUUCAAGGAUCGAUGAACCACUUACCUCAUGAACAUCAAUUGGAGUUCAUAGCAGACGUUAUGUGACAGAUCUUCAUUUUCUUGCGUUGGUACUGAUUGACAACAACAUUGCUUCUCAGAGACCUCGAAGCUAAAGGAGGGGGUGAUGUUAGGGACAUAGUCCUUAGAACCUUCUAGAGACAAGUUUCUUGAACCUUCUAGAGACAAGCUUCUAGAACCUUUUAGAAGCAAGUCUCUGGAACCUUCUAAAAGCUUCUUAGUUGGUAGAAGAUGUUAGGGACAUAGUCCUUAGAACCUUCUAGAGAUAAGUUUCUAGAAUCUUUUAGAAGCAAGUCUCUGGAACCUUCUAGAAGCUUCCUAAUUGGUAGAAGUUGCUUGAGAAGCUUCUUAAAUAGGAGUAUAUAUUGAAAUCGAGGCUGAAGAGUUCUUCAGUCUCGACAACACAUCUCUUGAAGCUCUAACUCACCUCUCUGGUGUUGUUUUUAUAUUCAUUUGAUUAAUCUAGUUCUUGCCAGUUCUUCUUGAACUUCUUAUUAGAUCUCAAGUCUGUAUUUUGGUAUCCAUGACAGGGUGUUGUUGAUUACUUGAGGCUUAUGUAUUUGAUGUAAUUGCUCCAAAAAAGAAAUUUUAUAUAUAAACUUAGGGCUUCCCUUAUUUUGAAGCUUGAUAGAGUAAUUAGUGAUAGCCAGGAGCCUAGUGCUUUCUUAAGGCAAACUUUCUCUAUCUCGACACCGAUUUAAUACCAUCAUGGUAAUUGAGAUUGUAUUGGUGUGAAACAUAGUGCUUAGUACAUUUCAAGUUUCUUUUAGAUUGGUUAUGUCUAUGAUAUUGUGAUAUACAUCUAGAGAAAUUGACAAUUAGAGUAUGGCUAUAGCUCAUCUUUUCUAUCUUUGAUCUAAGUUUGUAAUAUCCAAAGGCUCCAUAUUUUGCCUUGGGUUGUUGGUUUCUUACUUCUUUAGAUCUAUAAACAUUGGUAUUCUAAAAGAUAAUGAUUCUAAAAAAUCCCAUAGAUCAUUUUUUUUUUUUAAAUGCUUUGUAAUGUGAUCACUCAAUGCUUGUAAUUCUUUAAUCCAGUUAACGUCAUUUCUUUGGAGCAUAUAUGUUGUAAUAUAUUCAUUGUGCAAAUUUGUAAAAGAGAUGAAGAUAUGAUAUAUUUAGAUGGUUAGCUUUGUAAGAGGCAAUAAACAACCACAAUAAUAAAAAAAAGAUUGGUUACAAAAUAAAUAAAGUGAAAGACUUGCAAAUCAAUAAUUGAAAUCAACAUAGAAAAUUUUUUGCUUUGAUACCAUGAAAGAACAAACCAUAUCAAAAUAAUGCUUUACUAAAAUGCCAACAACAUAAUCCAAGUAUUGAUUUGUAUUAGUAUAAGUACAGAAAGGACAUAGGGGGUGGACUACUUGUGUCCGUAAUAAGUGAAUCUUUACCCUAAUAUCUAAACUUCAUAUAUCUAUAUAUUAAUGAUAUAUCUAUAUAUUAAUGAUAUAUCUAUAUAUUAAUGAUAUUUGUUAGGAGACGAUGAGCAAGGAUGAAUGUCCCAACACUGGUCUCAUUCUUGUCUCUAUCAUUGGUCCUUGCAAUUCAUGACCUAUGAGCAAGAAGGGCGGAAAUUCCUUGAUUUUGCACCAUAUUAAGAGAGCACCAGGGCAGCCUUUCGAAAUUUCCACUAAAGAACAGCCUGUGACUUUGCAUGAUUUUACGAUUUUGAGAGGGUCAUUGAAGCUUUUUUGCAGUGAUGGCGACUUUCCCCAUCCAAGUAGUGCGUUAGCGACUUCAGCAACGGCCAAGUAAAGAUGGGAUGUCCAGAUAUGUACAUUCAAGACCAUAAUGUGAUAUGAGGGCUUCUGAGGUCUGUGUGAAGAAAUUGUUCCACACUUAUUACAGGUUGUGCCCUCCUCAUCACUUCAACUUCUUGUCUACAAGUUAGUAUUGAAAUUCCUUAAUUGAAAAUCAAGAAAUUGACGAGCGUGGAUCGAUUCAAGACAAGCAGCAUGAAUGCAUUGCUUCAUAUUUGAUCCUUCAUGAAUUUUGUCCGAAGUGUACCUAUGUGGCGAGAAACAUCGAUUCCAUUGUCUGGCAAUCGUUACUUCUCUUUCAACUAGAUUAUCAUGUCGCACAUUAACCCCAGUUUUAGCAUAGAAAAUGCAUAAGCAAAGAAAUAAUCGUCAGGAGACGUGUAAUAGGACGUAUUAGGAGAUUUUUGUAUUUGAUGAGGUUUCGAACGUUGUAUAUCCGGCACUGCGUCACAAAAUCUUGUGAUUUUAAUUGAGCUCCAUUAGGAUAUCGUCAGUUGACGGAGGAAAAUAGCUUUGUAGCCACGGAAGAAGUCUGAAAUUGCAGUUUUAGUGAGACGCUUCGUCGUCUUCGUAAUUGUACAUUCGAGAAGAGUUUCAGGUGUUCAUUAAAGGUGAGAACAAGCACAAUGACGACAGCUUUGCUAAAAUAAUUUGGAAGACGCAGAGGAAGGAACAGAAUGGAAAAGAAUGAUAGAACGAAAGCAGGUAAUAUUUUCCUGCGAACAAUUACAAAAUUGUAUGUUUAAUAUGAGGAGGGGUAUAUCAGAGCAUAUCAGCAACAUUCUUAAAGUGAUAUAAACUGGUCUCUGAUAUUAGCAGGGGCUUAUAUUUAUUAAAUGUGGACCACUACUGAUCCUCUCUAUAGUUUGGUUUUCCAACGUUCUUUUGAUGUAUUUGUAGUUAUAUUUCAGGGCUGACUCUUAAGGAAAAGCUUUGUACAGUAGCACGCAAUGGAGAUGCAACUUCUCUACUAUAAACAAACUCUUUUCAGCGGAAACAAAGACGUGUACAGAAGACCUAGUUUCUUUUUCUUUGAUUUCCUUGUCUUUCCUUACUUUCGUUUUUUCUCUCCUUUUCUUUCCCCACUGCUCUCCACACACACACUCUCUCUCUCUCUCUCUCUCUCUCUCUGCUUCUUCGUCAUCUUCUUUUACUUUAUCAGAAACCCGAAGAGGCUGAAAAAGUAAUGGAGGCGUCUGAAAGUUUCAGGCAGAACCCUAAAACCCUAACCUUUGCCUACGUCGGGCUCUGACUCGCCUCACCUUGCGAUGUUCAAUCGUCGCGCCUUGUUCUGCGAGAAGCGCACACAACCAGCUGCGCCAUGAAGGAAGCCAAAAUGCUCGAUGGGUACUCUGGGUACUCGCCUGGCGAUGGGUUUCGACAAGUGGAGCUUCUGGCGCCUCUCGUGGAAGAAGCGGCAUCGUCCAACACCGAGCUAUGGCUCGUGCAACUCCCUGUGAACGAAGUGAGCCCCACUGUUUCCGUCUCACUGUUGGCAUUCGUUUCAUGGACUUGUGGCUUUUUCUCACUGUGGGAGGGGUAUAGAGUAACAGAUUAUGGGCUUUUUGUUUAUGCAAGAGCGGUUAUCUUAUCAAUGUGUAAGUGAUUGCCGGAGAUUCUGUUGCAUCUUGAGAACAAGGAGGUGUCGUGGUGUGGGCUGCAUGUAUUUGGUUUUGGUCUUGAAGGCGUUGGAAUGACGCUCGUGCUGCAAUCUGACCUUAUACGCUGGCUUUACAGUUAGGUCCCAAGGACUUGAUGGACAAACAAUGGGUCAUACAACCUCCUGAUUCGGAUGGCAAAAUUGGGCACUUCUACAGCAUUCGAGGUAGGUUAUGAAUCCACUACCUUGCGAUUGUUUGUCCUAGGAAUUCUACAUUGGGGCAGAGAACCGUUGGUUUAGGAGGGGCGUGCAACGUCAGGCGUGUAAUUCUUGCAGCGGUUUUAAUUAUUUUUUCUAGCCAUUCGUAGGAAAGAACAGGUGUAAUAUUUCUGUCCCUAGCGUUCCAGAUGAUUGCGUGGGUUGCUUAAAGUUGUGGCAUCAGCCUAGGAAGUUCAUAGGAUUUUGUUUUCUAAAAAUCCUAGUAGAAAAUUCUACCAAACAGUGAUGACUACAAGUAGUCCAUAGGUUCCGAUUUUGUGUAUUUCAAUUUGCCAAUCGAGAUUUCAUAUAGUACUAGAGGAUUUUUCAACAAUCAAUGACUCGAGAUUUUGAUGUUUUUAGGAGAUAUAUGUAACGUGGUGACGGAGAAUGUGGAUAGGAAGAAGUUAUAUGCAAUAAUGCCAGGCUCUUCUCAGCAUUCUGGUAAGAGAUCCCUAGUCCACGACCUGCAUUGUGACCAUAGUAUUAUUUUGUCGACUCAGUUCUUUGAAUUUAGGAGUCAAGUCACUGGUAACGUCCUCCUUAGAUUUUUUACCACUUUUUCUUAAUAUUGUAAGUUUGUAGAGAUCUUAAACUGCUAUUUCGGUGCACAUUCUUUUGUCCUUAUAACUAAAUGGCUUGUUCAACCAAGCAGGUGUGCUUUUUGAAUUUCAGUGUACAAUCUCUUUUUUGGUACUCACUUAUGAAGUUGUCGUGGUAUCUUAGCUUUUAAGUGAUUUUUCGAUGCCAACUAAGCAUGCGUAUUCGUUAAAGAUAAUUUCUGUCUUUUCGACCUUGAACGUAUCCACGAUUUUAACGAUAGUCGCUGUGGCAUCUUUCUUUUCCAGUGCGUAGAAUUACAUCUAAAGUAUGUUUUAGACGACAGCUUGAGAUACAGAAAGAGACUUCACUUGGUGGCCGUAGCAUAAGAUCUGGCAUAACAUCAGGGGAAAAAUCUAGAGGAGGUAUGUACAGCUUCCAAGCAGGAACGCCGUCUGUGAUUGACUAAAUGUUGUUGGAGAUAAGAGAGAGUUAUCUGACCUUACUGUUAAGGACCCAAUUGUGUUCAUGUAUUGACAUCAAAUUCCGUAUGCAACCUUCGGCAUAUUUGCAUAGCCCAUUCCACUAUAGUUUUUCACUGGUGAUUUUUAUGGGAAGACUUAUGCCCUGUUAUGUAUUGAGAGGUGAUCCUCAUCUGGUUUUAAGAGUGGUCAGUUUUAAUGCAGAUUCAACGAGAUCGGUUCAGAAACGGGCUCUUACAGACGAGAAGCAAACAAGUGGUGUGACGGAGGGAUCCGUUGGAAACUCUGAGGUCAAGAAGGAGAGCAAGAAGAAAAAGAAAAAAACCGACCUUUCUGCGACAGAAGGAUCUAUAGGGAAUUCCGAGAUUGAGAAAGAUAGCAAGAAGAAAAAGAAAAAAGAGAAGAGAUCGAAAUCUAGCUGAAAACAUAGAAAGAGCGUUGCAACUAUACGCAACUCUGAUUCUGCAGAUGAAGUUGCUUGCUCCCAGAAUUCCUGCCCGGAUGAAUUGGCCGUUUACGGCCCUGUCUGUCCGAGAUAUUUUUGACUUUUCCUCCACCAACUGGUCAGGAGCCCAUGGCAACUUAGUUGUGCACCUUGUAAAGAUCCCAAUGCCACACAUGCCAUGGGAUGCAACAGAGUUUUGCAGGGAAGUAGUCAAGAAAAAGAAAAAAGAAAACAUUUCUUAAUAUACUUGAUCAUGUGGCAUGAUCGCCUGGAUCAAGGCUUGCAACACCGAGAAGCAGUUUGAAGUAGCAGGAGCCAGAUGACGUAUGGUGGUACUAUGUUAUUAAUGUGUGGGAAAACGUGCACGUUCUAUUUUUUCUUUCAGAACACUUGCCAUGUUCCCAAGUGUGUUCUUUUUUGCCUACACAUCGUUAUGUGCGCCAGGUUUUCGACGGCUCAUCACUAGCAUGACAUAGUAUGUUGAGAUGUCCUUCAGACGUGUCGUGUGUAAAAGUUCUCUUCAAGUGCAGGAAAUUUGCGUUAAGAAGAUAAUUUCGUCUCCAGUACGUUGUAGAGUCCCUACAUACAAUUCAAAUCGCCAAUGAGAAGCACGAACAAUAUGUUCUAUCCUCAUCGAAAUCCUUGUGAAGUGAGGUUUUUGGUCUCCCUGUCUUCAUAGUAAAAACUUUUUGAUUACUACUUCCCGUGUGCAGGAGCCGGAGGAAGGGCUUCCUCGAAAGUGGAGGCUCCAUGCAUUGUGAUCCACGAGUGAUGACUCAAAAGUAACUCCAAUAUCUCUUUUGCUGAAUUAUUGAGCUUAGACUUGUCGAACCAGAACGAAACUACUAAGCGAUUGUGUUGUUGAGCAUGUAACAUGUGAAAAACUGGCACGCAUACGCAUGGGAAUGGAGUGAUGUUCGUAAGCUUGCUACAACCUGUUGUGUAGACCAUAAUUAUUGUCGAUAAUGUUGAAGGUGGAGAUUCUGUCUCUCUUUUAGUGUUUGAGCUAUACAAGAUCCCUCUCACAUGAUUGAAGCAAGAAUUGCAAGUUUGCAUGAACUAGUCUCACGACAAUUUGAAACACAAAAAGUAAGUGGAGAAUAAUGUAUGCCAACACUGCCUCAGUUUUCGAGUCUCUUUCUUUCAUUUUUUGUAUCAAUCUCUAAUUGAGACUGUUUCGUUAUAAUUCUAAUUAUUGAUAUUGAUACUGUAAGUGUUUAUACGGUACACGCGGAGAAGUAGGGUUUUUCUUCUCCUUCUUUCUUUUUCUUUUCUUUUUUUUUUUUUUUUUUUUUUUUUUUUCGAGCACUCCAAUUAUAUAUAUAUAUAUAUAUACAUGGGUAGUCUUUAUUAGAAUUGUGUAUACUCCACACAAAAUAUUGCAACAUGGGUAUUAUAGCGGAGUUUCAUACUCUGAAAAAUCCAAUGUUUGAAAUUACAAGAUUAGUAAUGUCAUCGUCCACCAACAGUUUUCUUAUCUUCGCAAACAAACACACAAGAAAGAACAACACAUACACACACCAUUCUGUCGAACUCACUUGUUAUUGUUGUUACUAAUCAAUCCAAACACUUCAAAACUUUAAUUGUUGAAAAACUUAGUCCACAUACUUCAUUACACCAUUCUGCGGAAGAUUGCACUACUUAUGUCCUCCGUCUUGUACUCAAAAUCACGAACACAUCCCGGAACCAGUAAGACGCGAGACAUCAUCACUUACAUGGCAAACUCCAAAGAGAAAUCUACAAUACAUAAAGGCAAUACCACCACAUGAACCUUAACAAAAACGGAUAGGGAUACACACACAAAAGCUGCGAAGAGACCAACUCACAGAGCAAUCAAAGUCUGUCUUAUCUAUCUUGACAGAUAGACAAGGGUGCCAGACCAUCGCAGAGGAAUGCAUGAGGUUGAGUACGGGAGCUAGAGGAGCUCCAGCUCGAUUGAGGACAGACAGCGACAGAGCUGUUGCAGAGCUUCAAGGACACGGCUGUAGCCAGGGAACAGCCAACAGCGAAUGAGGCCUGGUUCUGACAGAAUGCCUGCCAGCCAGCCAGCCAGGAAGCGGGGCGGGAUUGGACUGAUGUGCACCUGGGACGGAGGGGUUUGGCAUGUGAGGUACAGCGAUCACAGUUGGGUCAGGAGCUUCAGUGCAGACUGUCAUGACAACGGCUACUAUUGUUUAAGGUGGUAGCAGCACUGCAAAGAUGCGGCAUCAGAUGGUGAUGUAAGGGUAAGAAUAGUUAGAUACUGCCCCACCGUGCACAAACCCCCUCCACCUAGUACCAUGGGGAAGAAAAGGGUGGAGGGAAGAUGAAUAAAUUCGCUUACACUGUUAUUCUGUAAGGAUUACUUACGGUAUAUCUUGGAAACUUUGAGCAGACCGACUGAGAGUAGAAAAAGGUUCUGGCCAGCCGGAUGACGACAAAGAUGAGUUAGCCCGCCCGGAGUUGUUUACCUCAGAUACAGAGAGAAGAUCAUUUGCUUAUUGUCACAUGUGCAGAGUUGAUGAAACAGUAAAAGGAAAUUGUCAUACAGGUGCGAGUGUAACAUGCAUGUCGAAACUCCGUGAAUCAAGCAUGUAACACACCUACAGCGUACAAUUCGGAAAACUUCCAAAACAAGAUUUCCAUGCUCAUCGUAAAGAAAACAUUACAGUAUACACAAGCAUAUAAGGCAAAAAGCCAGAGAGAAGAAAUUUAAUUAGGAUGAAUGCUCAUCGUUUUAUUGGACAACAGGUCCACAAAUAGAACCUUAGAGAGAACUUCGAACCUGUGGACGUCUUGUCACGUAUUAUGAAUGAAAUCACCUCUAUCAAUGGUCAUGUUCACAGGAGUCGCUCCACUGGGAUAUAGGGCAGUGGAGGCGCACCUUCGAUCAAAUCCUAGCCUACGUUUUAUCACAAAUUUUUUACAGCCGCUCAAAUCCUAAGAAAAUAAGCUUCCCGGCCGCCAGCAACCUUCUACCGAGCUACAGCCCAACUGUUGCAACAACAACGCAAGCUCAAAAACCCAGCCGCUCUAACAGAAGACUUUGGAGGAAAUCCAUCACCGUGACGUUUGACAUCGUCCUCCGACAGUAAAACUCACAAAAAACCGCGCCAAGCGAAACGGCCAGUACACAGAUCCUUCCACCCCAGAAAACCAAUCGUCUCCAAAAUAAUCUCCCACGUCACAUCCUGAAAAAUCAUCAUCACCUGUGGAACGCCCAACAACCUCCGCGCACUCUCAACAUCCUUACCAAAUGUGGGCACCAACGAACGCCAAGGCAGCGAAGAUCACCGGCGCCACCACGGCGGGCGCCACGGACGCCGCGUGACUUUCCGGGGGUGGGGCGGGAGCCAUGGCCUGAGCGCUCACGCUCACGGCCAAGGAGCAAGCAACAACCACAGCCACGAGGGCGAAAUUCUUCACAGAUCUCAUCGUGGAAGCCAUUCUGCAGUGAUCAGCGACCCUGUUCCGCAACCUGGAGAGAUGGUUCACAGUGUUUUCCUCGCAAGCCCAACGCACAGUAUUUGUCUCUGACAAGAAUGGAGGCUUGUGGGGGCAAUGUGGGGCGGCGAUAAGAGACGUUGGAGGCGUCGGAGAGCUCAAAGCGUGAGAAGCUACAAUCGAUGAAACUAAUAUACUGCAGAGCGAAGAAGUGGGGGCGCGGCUAUAAAGAGCCUCGAGCUGAGACCCGGCGGGGACGCCGAAGCAGGCCAAGCCGUGUGCAGCGGGCAGCGGGUUGUCUGCCCCGCCAAAAAGGGGGGCAAAAAAGUAAAACGUUUUUCCUCACCGCCCCUUGAUCCCACCGCCUAUUCCCGUGUCGCAGUCUUUUCCCAGUCAAUAUACGCGCUUUCGUCACGUAAUUCCGCGCAAAAUUGGGUGAAAUAAAUAAUUAUCUAUUAUGAAUGUAGGUCUGUCAGGUUCAGUUGGGUUUCAACUGUGCUCCUACAAAUCCAACUCUGUUCUUUAUUCUUUUUUCUUCUAUAAGUCUAAAGACCGUUUCUAAUUUGCACGAGUGUGUGGAUGGCUUGCUUAUAUCCUAAAGUAAAACAGUGGUUUUAUAAAUUUGGGGAUUAGUUGUACUUGUUGUUGCAUUAUAUAUUGGGUUAUGGCAAAGUGAGACUUGGGUGUGGAUUUUCCAACCGGAGCCGUGAAAGUAAAAUAUAUAUAUAUAUAUAUAUGUUCUUUAAAACACUUACCUUGAACAAAAGCUGUUUUUCUGUUGAUGUGGUUAUUUUUUAAUUUUAUUGCUGAUGUUUUUGUUAAGCACUGUUGUGUUACUUGGUUAGACAGAAUGUAAAUUUGUGUUAUAGUGAGGUUGCAAAAUGUAUUGAAGGAUAGAAUUUUUAUUUAAUUUUUAAUUUUUAAAAUUUUAAAAUUUUUCACUGCCAAUCUUUUCCUUUGAUACAGUGUCUAUUUGUUACAUAUAUGGCAUAAAAUCGUAUUUACCUUUGAAAUAUGUAGUGCACAUUUUUAUUUUUACUUUUAUUUUUUCAUAUGUGCUAGCAAGUAGAAAGCAAAUGCAAACAUGCCUUCAAAGUCACAAGCUACUAUGGACAUAGAAGGGGUCUAAAACCCAUAUUCCCUAUUGCUUUUUUGUAACCAGGCACAUACACAUUAGAAGUAAGGAACAUGGAUUCUAUGUACUACAUUUGUUUGUUUAUUCUAUUCUAUUAUGAUUAUUAAUGUUGUUAUAGCAACAUGGCAUGAACAAAAUGUGGACCUUCCAAAAGAUUUUGAAUCCAAACGUAGAUGCCUACACAAAGUCAUACAUAGCAUUUCUGCAGAUGAAGAGAAAAUAGGGGAAAAAAGAAAAAUAAAAAAAAAGUCCACUUUGCAUUUGACCACCAAGUAGUUGCAAUUCCUCUUGACUUCCAAGCUCAAUAAUGGAGUAGAUGUAGAUUGGUUGGAACAAAGGCAUACGCACAUGGUUUGUUUUUCUUUUCCCCAGUACAAUUUACGUGUAUUUCCCCAAUUGCAAAAUUCCAAUCACCUACAAAAAAGCCUUUUGAGCUACCACCCCACAACACUCUUGUAGAAAGGAGAUAGAAAGCAAACUCAUGCACUCCAAGGAAUUGCAUCUUCAACUCCUCACUUCGUUUCCACUCCUUGUAGGCAAUUCAUAAUAAAAUUAGAACUAAAAUUAGAACCAAAAUUGAAACUAAAACCUCCAUCUUUAUCUAUACCCUUGUUUUUGAAGUUGAACAAUUGAAUCGAAGUAGGUCUGGCUUCCCUUCAAAACAUGAUAGAAACCCAGCAAUAUUCAAUGGUCCAACAGAGUCAAACUUGUAUUAAUACAAGUUAGGCUUUCAGUGAAGAAAAAGAGCAAGUCAACAUGUCUUUGUGCUUCUUUUUUGUAUUUGUUUUUUUUUUGUUGCAAAACCGCAAUAUUCUGUAUAAAUGAGGGGAUGCCAUCUCACUAGAUAUGUGGGAAAAAGGCUUCAGUCAUGAGAGACUUGGUGUAUAGUUUUCUUCCAAGUGUAUGUGAGAGUAGAUGAUUGAAGAAGACGAGGACGAGAGUCUAGGGAUCAAGCGCGCGCGAGUCCCACCAUGAGUGAUGGUUGUGGUGCCUGCUUUGCCCUCAUUCAAGGGGUCAAUCAUUUUGUGCAUCUACCGAGGACGUUCAACUAACCCAGGUUUGGAGAUGGUGGGGUGGGGGUGUUGUGCAGAUUCCAAGCAUGGGCUGAAAGAAUAAUCAAUGCAGACAGAUUCUGUAUCAACACAUGCUUUUUCUAGCUCUUAAUGUAAUUGAAGAAAAUAACAGAAAAAAAUAAAAAUAAAAAAUAAUAAUAAUUGUCUUCAACUCUUCAAGUGUAAAUUCAACUCUUCAAGUCACACUCAAUGUCUAACCCUUCAUAUGUUUAGAGUAAAAAAAAAAAAAAAAAAAAAAAAAAAUCUUACAAAUUUUAUUUUUUUCAAAACAUUUGUAAACUUGUUAACACAAAAUUCACAAUAAUAUAUUGUACGUGAAAAUUGAAUGAAAUGAAUGCCAUGUAUUUUUUUUUAAUUCAACAUGAUAUUACGUAGUACCCACUGUUUUUGAGAUUGUCCAUACAGUGGUCUAUGCCAUUUUUUGUUUUUAUUUUUUUCCAGUACAAUAUUGUACUGAACACGUGCAAUCACAUGAUGGUAAAUUUUAUUGAACAAAAAUGAGAGUGAGGCAAACAUAAGAAAAAUAGGUAAAUAAAUAUUUCAGGAAAUAACAUUACCACUGUAAAUAUUUGUUGAAUAAGACACUAAAGAAAACAUUUUAAUUUUAUUGAAUAAUAAUCAUUUUUUAAUGUUGUGAGUAAAUUUAGGUCUUGUUCCUUUUCAAAAGAUGACCAUGGUCUCAACACUUGCUUGAUAAAACUUUACCAUUUUACAUGACAUGCUUAUCCCAAUGCAUGUACUAUUAGUUAGUCAUUAUAUUCCUGCUACAAGUUUAAUAUUUUAGAAGGUUAUUUCAUUGCAACAAUAAUCUUAUUAGCAUGUAUUGGAGUGGCAAUGUUUUAAAUAUCACUAUCACCAUCAAAUUCAUCGUUUUUGAUAUUUAUCAUAUUUACAAACAUUUAACAAGGGUGUGUCUUGUGUUAAAGAAAAAUAGUGGUAAAAGUGAAACUGUCUAAAAAUUUUAAAAAAUAAAAGCUGUAAACUGAUAUUCUGAAACAUUCUUUACAGGGAGAUAAAAACAAUAAAAAUGAUUGGGUUGCAUGAAUUAAAAGCUAUAAAGUGUGUGAUUCCAUCACCAGUCGUAGAUGUUUUGAGUGACCUAUUUUUAACCUGUUGUGAUGUAACCCAAACCAACGUGUGUAUUUAUUAUGUAAGGAUAAGGAUUGUUAUUUUUUGAACAUUUGAUCCCAUCUUUGAAACCUAAAAUAAAUGAGGUUGGAAUCAACAGAUUGUGAAAGAUUGUUCCAAAGUAAAUGGGAAUGAUUUAUUAUGGAAUCCUUCAACUGAACCAUCUUUUUUUCUUUUUAUUCUUUUUAUUUGUAUAAAAGUAAUCCAGCCAAAAUCAUGUUUAAUCAACCUAUCAUUCACUCUUAAUGGAAGCUUGCAGGACCCAAUUGUAAGAACUUACCCAACAAGAGGUGAAAUAUUCAAUCUCUAUUGGCUGCAGAACUUCAACUUUAUUUUAUUUUUUUGCUCUCUGUCCAUUAAUAUUAAAAAGUAUACAAAUAAAUGGUUACUGCAUGAAAGCUCAACCACUAGGGUUUGAAGAUUUGGUGUGUUGUAUAUGAUGCAGCUCUUCUUUUUGUUGAAGCCAUGACAGGUUUCAUGAUUUUAUGUCACAAUGGAAUCUGACAUUCUGACCUGGCCAUUUCACUUGACUGUGUGCCCUAAAAUGCCCUCAUCUGCAAAAAACACAGAAGUAGGAUUAAGAAGUAAAAGGGUAAAAUAUAUAUAUAUAUAUAUAUAUAUAUGAAAAUGUGUGAUUUAUGCAACAUUAUUAACAUGUAGAAAAGAAAUAAAAUUAAAUAAAACAUAAUCCAUAUUACUUGUAGGGUUUUGCUGAUGCCCACCAUAGUCUGUGGUUCUAGUUAUUUUUUUACAUUUGUAUCCUUUUUAAUGAAUGGAUUGUGACUUUUUAUUCCCCUUGUUGCAUAUUUUAUUGUUGUUAAAUAUAAAAGAAAAUGAUUGACCAAUGCAUUGAACAGCAAUUCCUUACAUUUCAAUUCCUUUAAAUUUCAAACCACAAACCAUUUUUUAUUUAUUCUUCCACCGUACACAUCUUCAACGGUCAUAAACAUGGUAUUCUUUCUUACUCUUUUUUACUCUCUUCUUUUUUUCCUUUUUUUCUUUUUGAUGUUUUCAAGAUUGCAUGAUGGAAUUUAUCAUUCAGCAUUCUUUGACAUGGUCCUUCAGCACAAUUUGAUUUUUGUGAAGACCAAACAAAUUCAAAAAGCGAAAAAAAGAAAGAAAAGAAAAGAAAAGAAAAAUGAAGUGGUCUCCAACCUUCAAAGACAGUCAUUUUUCUUUUUCUUUUUCUUUUUCUAUUGUUGAUAUUAUUGUUACUUAAAGAUGUCAAGCUGCUAAAAGGUAUUGGGCAAGAGGGUAGUUCAUAUGUCACUCUUUCUCUCUCUCUCAAUAUAUAUAUAUAUAUAUAUAUAUAUAUAAUAAUAAGAAGAAGAGGGUGAGAGAAAAAAGAAGAAUCCACACUUUGCUAGUGUGCCAGCCCCCAUUCUUCUUAUGAUUGUAGCUUUUGCUCAUAAUGAUAUGCAAUGAAUCAUCUUGUGGGCUGGAAAGAUAAAAAUGGCUCAUACAGAUCCAUAAUGUCCUUCUGCAUUUGCAUCAUCAGCAUGCACCUUCAUUAGACACACACACGCAUAUCAACAUGGCAUGGUUUUCAUUUACAACAUGUGUGGUUAAUAAAACACACACAGUUACAGUGAAUGUACUUCAAAGAAAAUCAUAAAUUCAACAACAUGUUGGAUGUUUCCUUGCCAUGAAAACAGUUCCACCAUAUGCAUUCAAAGUUGGCAAUUCAACAUAUAAAGACAAAAUGAAAAAAACAAACAAAACCAAAACAAAAACAAAAACAAACAAACAAUCACACAAGACAGAGAAUAAUCAUGGUGUCAUUGUGCUGUUACUGCAACUCAUUACAAGACAAUGACAAUGUCAUUGGUUGGCAACAAAGUGCAUCAAUAAAUAAAUAAACAAAGGUAAAGAAACAAUGUGCAUCAAUGGAAUCACAAUCACAAUCACAGUAGAUAUAUGCUACCUCAAUGCCUCAGUGUAAGAACACAGCCACACUGAGCAGUAAAGAGAUUAUCGAAAACAUUGAUACCAAGUGAUUCACUAAUAAGAAUUAUCCAAACCAUCUUCCCCAUUAAUGACACCUCUAAAAUUGUGCACUUACUUAACUGAUCCUCACUUCCACUUCCACUUCCCCACAUUCUCCAGAGAAUGUCCUGUACAAAGGGGCUUUUCUUCUUCUUCUUCUUCUGCUUCUUCUUCGUCUUCACUGUAAAGCUCAUUCAACACGGGGCUUAGAAUCUCCCUCGUCAAUGCCCCUCCACACCUCUGUCCAAAACUGGCACAUCGUUUCAUGAUAUCUCCAACAAGCCACUAUCAUAUGGGACACUUCGUACGAAGGCCAAGUGUCGAGAUCGAUGAAACUAGCUUUACGGGAAGCUUUGAUCUCCACGGAAAAAUUUAAACGACUCAGGGCGGAGCGUCCAAGACCAGGGGAUCGGGGAAGGCGGUUGAAGGGUUCCACUUCAGCCAGCCAGCUCAGCAGCCAGCUAAGCGCGAGGGGGCGGGCGUGCACGUCCGGGCAGAGGAGUGGUGCAGUGUGCCAGGGCUGGUUAGUCAUUGCCCAUGUUCCUGCUGCCGUCGGAUGGACGACGGAGAUUCGUUCCCAUGAAAAGAAGACUAUAUUUGAACUUGUCCAUGUGGAGGUUCUUCCGGGGGUCUUGUGGUUUCUGCUCUGUUCUUGGUCAGGCCUUCCUAGGCCUCGUUUUUGUGAAUUUUAGUGGGUUUUGUUGGGUUGCUAUAUAAUUGCGGUUUCGAAAUUUGGGGAGGGAGGGGAGUUCGGGGGUUUUUCUGGCUCCGUCAGUAGUUGCGAGGGAUUUGUCAUGGUAUUUAUAUAGUAAGGUAUGGUAAGUGUUGGACUUCUCCAUGGAAACGCAAAAGCUGGUUCCGUCACCGUAGUCCUGCGAAGGGGGGGGGCAUAUUCCGGGGCGGUAUCGGUGGGGGCUUUUUCCAUGAUUGCAUGUGUUCCGUCUGGAUUUGUCAUCAUCACUCGGGGUUGCACCUUUCCACCCCCCCCCCCCUCUCGCUCUCUCCUCUCCCACGCCCCAGUUCUGGUGUGGAGGUUUUUCCGGGGGUUUUGUUUACAGGUUUAGGAUUUAGAGUUUUUGAAUCUAACAUAUUUAUUAUUAUUGUUAUUGCCAUUGUUACGUUAUGUUCUAUUGGGUAUUAAUGUAGGCAUAUAUAUAUAUAUUAAAGGAAGUAUUGUUUCUUUUUACUAUAUCUCACUAUUUUUUGAGUUACUAUUCACAUGCAUUUCCAUAAUACAUACCAUUCAGCAUAUUCCUUAAAGAAACGUUGCAUAUAAAACGUGAAUUUGUGAAUGUUUGGAUUUUGAACAGGUUGUAUCUUCAACAUAAUGAGGAACACCAAAAUCAUAUAUUUAGAAGUAGAAAUUAUACUACAGUAGUAUUGAAUAGAAAUAGAAGUGUUAAAAAAUCAAGUAUUACUCCAUGUAAAUCAUGACAAUCAAUAUAAUAAUCAGAAAUGCAACAGAAUACUCCUUAUAUUUGUUGUUCACAACGUCACCAUCACCAUCUGCAAUACGAUGUGUACACAACCCUAACUUGUGCGAAUUUGUUUAAAAAUAUUUUCCAAUAUUGAUUUGUACGCUGAAACUGGCAACAGCCCACCCGGAAUAAUAAAAACCAGCUCAUGCGACAAAUAUACAAGCGAUAGAAUAAACGCCAAUGCGGUGAAUUCGCGCGUUCCGUGGCACACAGCUGGCCGCCAUGUGGACGCUUCAUUAUGGAGGGACGACUCACAAUAGGACAAAGAUCGUGCCUGCCUGGCGAAGCGAGGUUUAUGCUUUGGCUUCGUGUUCGAGCAACGGGGCAUAUCUCCAUGGCCCCAUCACCACUGUCGAUACCCAUGGCCGUUGCAUGUGCAAGGGCCCAUGCCGCCGCGGCUCCCAUGUUCGAACCCUUGUUUGCAGCUGACAGGUUCCCGAAACCCUAAUUUGUUGCCGUUGCGUAAGGUUUAGGGUUUUAUAGCCCAGGGACUUGCGGAUCAUCAGCUUUGCGCUGGAGCUUAGCAAGCGCGAGACAGACCCGAGCAGCACAGCACGGCAGGCUGUCAUUUUGCCCUGCAAUCCUCACCAGUUGUGCGACAAUAACCCUCAAUUGAUAGGCAUUCAUUCUGUUUUUUAUUUUAUUUCUUUGUCUUUUAAAAUAUUAUCAGCCCAAAACACAGUGUUGUCCCUCUCAGUGUCUCGCUCUCUGUCCGUCCGUGGUCUUGUUUCACCGUCACAUCCUUUGGAAAAAUUUUCAUGGAAUUUUCACCUCCAAGCAUUGGGCCAAUAAUUUAUGCGAGAAUCUUUGGGACGCAGAUAGCAAGUCUGCCAUCCCGUACUUGCUUCCUUAGUUGUUGCAGAUCGAGAUCACGAAUGUAUGGAAGUAUGCUUGGAGCUCUUUGUGGGCUCUUUCGGAAUAUCUGUGGGGAGGAUUUUAGCUCUGCAGUUGGGCUUGCGAUCUCUCAGAUAAGUAUGUGUUGAUUCCGUAGCUGAAUAAAGGAUCCAUAUCUCGGUGAAUGCCACCACGGCCGCACAGUGUGAGUACAGGUCCGGAUGCCUUCGAUAUUACAGUGUGUAAGUAUGUUCGCUAUUUGGGUUUGUGGUAAACUCGUUAACAGCAGCAACAUCUAAUGGAGGUAAAUAUAGAUGAGUGAUAUUAAUGGAGUCACGGAUUGAAUACGACGUGGAAAAAGAGAAUUAAGAGAGCCCCAAUAAUACCAUUGUUCCAGGUGCUUGGAAAUCUUACCUGGAUGGACACAUUGAUGGGCACCUCAGGAUUUAAACGUUCAGAUCACAAGGACACACGCCAAGAAUAGGUGAAUGUGCUGUGUCCCGCCUUGUUUUCUCUUAAAGUGAUUGCCCCGUUAGAAUUUCGCUUCUGAAUCGUUUCUAAACCCUAAACCCUAAACCCUGAAUUUGCGGUACUGAGACACUCACAUAGAGAGCCUCGAGCAGGUGACAAAAGUACUAGUAAAAAUUUGUACACAAGGUUGAUGACUACGAUGUCAGAUGUGGAGCUGUGUACUGUUGCAACCCAUCAUCAUUUCCGAAACCAAUGGGAAGAGCUCGAGGCUCUCUUUCCCAGAUUAUCUCACAAGAGCCAAGCCGGCAUGCAACCCAGGCUUGACCUUGGGAUUCGCUUAACCUCAGGGCCCCGCGAACAUUCGUCACAAGAUUUUUACUUCUAUGGGGGUACAACUGGCGGUGCCCAUGAAUAAACACUGCAACAGUGAACUCUGCGUGUAUUGUGGAUGGAAUCUGCAAGCGUUCAAUGGAUGCUGUCUAAUUCACAGCUAUCACCGAGCGUAUGGCGUUCGCAGCAAAUUGAACAGAGAUCUGUGGCUCUGUGAUUUUGUUCGCAUGAACAGGCGAUGCAACGAGAGAGGGGCGUCUCGGAGUAAGUUUGCAGCGUUUUUUUCGAUUCUGUUCGAAUUUCGUCAAAUCGGCAAAAGGGAACAGGAUGUAAUAUCAUUCAUAAAGAGGGAUUAUGUUUAGUAUCGCAAAACCAUGAAUAUCACACGCAAUCAAGCUUCUGAAGUUGCCAGAAUCAAAACCAUUUACUAUUGAGUUAACGGAGUUUUUUGCACAAUGUUUAUGAGCAAGGAAUUAGGUUCUGUGCGUGAUUUGGAGAGUAUCAGCGAGCAAUCAAUGAUCGGAAGUUUCUCUCACCGAAUGUGGAAUUUAACCAAGAGAAAAACAUACGGCAAAGGUGGAGAGACGUGAAGAUUGAAGUGCAUUCUACCAGACUUCUCAAACAUAAAUGAAGAUGCGAUAACUUUCCUGACAGGAGAAUGCGUUUGUACACAUCCAGGACAGAGUCCCAACAAGCAGAGCCUCCUCCUCACUUUUUUCUUCAGGAGCAUUGCACGGACAUACUUUUGAAUCAUUAGGCGUGAAAGGCAAUUCCUUCCAGCUGGAGCGUCUGUCCUUCGGCUUGGACCGGUGCGGCUUAUUCAAAGCACCUUUCAAUGAUCUCUCAACAAGACACCAGCCUGUGUGAAAUAGAGAAAGAUUCAUGUAAGAAUCAUUUGAGGAGAUUAUGUUAAGAUUGUGAAAUGUCUCCUCACGAUGGCGAAGCCUGUGAAUGUCAAUCCCCUGCAGAGGCUUGGCCUCCUGACGCUUUUGCUGUCAUGAAACAUCAGUGCCAGAAAAAGCAUGCAUUUCACCGACCUCACAUUUGGAGCCAUCUUAAAAAAGAAUCGCGCCAUUGAACCUUAAGAGAUUCAGAAACUUCCCACUCAUGUCGACCAACCUGUGGAGAGUUGAGAAAGAUAAAACCCAUGACUUCAAUCCUAAGGAAGAUAACAGCCUUUGACCUUCUGCUUAAAUCCAACCUUGAUCAGACAUGGUCGUUGCAGUGAUAUUUGUGAUGCAAUAAUGAUAGACGCCAGAGUUUCUACGACCGUAACGCCAUAACGCCAGAGAAGGGUUAAAAUUCCGACUCAAAUACCCUUAGAGAGAGAGGGAGAUGUUUACCGGUGUUAUGGCACAUCUGCGAUCAGCAUCCAGAUUUGUAUCCAAGUUCUUAUGUGAUCAAAUCACCAUCUACUCGGCGCCAAGUUUUGUGAACAGCAUGCAUGCGUGUGAAGCCGUAGAUGCACUGUGACUGGAGAGCUACACCACCAGAGCGACUUCGGGGUUGGAUAUGAAAAUGGCCACCAUUCCUACAGCGUGCAUCAAAGCCAUCUGCCAGGAUUGUCUGCUGUUACUAAGGUGUACUUCAAGGGACUGACAGGCAGUCUCUCAGUCUUGUAACAGGAUUUCAAGACAUUGACGAUGUGAACUCUGCUAUCUCUCCUUGUGCCUAUUGACCGAAUAACGAGGAAUCAGAUACGAGGUCCUGCCUCCAGAAAAAUCCCAUUAUCCAUUCUUUACGAACUAUGCAAGUGAGAUGGCGAGGAAGGCCAGUGCUUACAAGAGCUGCUAGCUUCUGGUGCUCGACGAGUGCCCCAUUACAUAGAGCUGCAUUGAGAAUUUCCCAAUCAUUGUUGUUGAAGUGACCAUGCCGACUGUGACAGUUCUCCCUCAGGGGUUGUCGACUGUCAGCCAUGAUGAUGUUAAAGGAACACGAAUGACCCGUUCCUUACUGGGUUUGUCCUCACGAACGAAGUCAGCAGGGGAAUCGACGUCCGGUUCUGUUUUUCUGUGAUUUCCGCCUCGACCUUGCGCCACUUCAAACGCAGAGUCACCAGAUUGAUGUCAACGUGGAUGUCAUUUCACUCGUUGGCAUAUUUCACAUGCGAGAGAAGAACUGCAUAUUCUGUGUAGGUGUGCAUUUCUGCGCUAGAAUGAACGUAAGAAGGCUCAAAAGACAGGAAGACACAUCGGCAGACUGAUCACCACUACAACGUGUGUCUCUGCUGGAGUCAGUGUGGAUUCAGUAAGACCUGAGCUCACAAUCGGCAACAAAUGAAUGUUACAUUUUAUUUGAAAACGAAGCACAUACAACCUCCACAUUCAAUGAAGUUAAAAUGCUUGGAAAACAGGAAACUAAAAGAAACACUCACGAUAUGGGUCCCGUCGACUCGCACCGAUUCUCAGAUACUCCGUUGUCAUCAGGCUGCUGCAGUGAGCACCUCGGCCCUCACCACCCAAACCCUAAUUCUGCUUCGGAGCAGUGGAAGCCUGCCCAGAAACACACACGAAAACUCAUGAAAACGUGCAGCCAGGCUCCACCCACCCAUCCACCCGAUUAAUCUUCUGAGGCUGCUUCCGAGGAGUCCCAUUCAUCAAUCGCACAGCAGCAGCGACGUUUCUUCUUACAUCGUUCAACUCGCCCAUCGUCUGCGUGUGUAUCGAGCAAUUCCAGGGUUUUUGUAGCUUGAACGUGCAUUGUGUGUGUGUGUGUGAGUGUGUGUAUGUGUAUGUAAACGCGGAUCUGCCUCCGUUUUAAAUUGUUUCAGUUUUUGUACACCUUACUUGAUUAAUCGGUCAUUAGUUUAAUUUGCAUUUUUACGUUGUCGACAACUCUUUCUAGUAACCUUGAGUAGUGACUGCUGCCGACAACAGGAAACACCAAGUGUACUGGAGAUACCGACGCACAUGAAACGUAGAAAACGACGCAGUAAAGUAGCUUCUGCUAUUGGCAGGAAUGAUGUAUACCGGUUUGAGGGAGGGGGGGUUGUCUUGGUGGGUGUUAAUUAAUUGUUGGAGGAAAAAGGACAAACCCUAAAAGCCAGCUGCAGCUGAGAGAUUAUCUUAAAAUCAGUUAAAGAAAAGAAACAAAGUCUAAUUGUAGAAGUGUUACAAAUGCAUGAAGUGAAUCAAACAACAAUUGUCAAUAAUUAAACAGAUAUAACAACCAAGAAAGAAACAAUAGAAAACAUAACUUUAUUAUAACAAAUAUGAAGGUGAUUUAUACAACAAGUACCACAUUACAAAAACUUAGCAACAAAUGUUGCAUAUAACUUACAAAACAAAUAUCGUGGUUAAUCUAUAAGAAAUAUGAUAAAGAAAGCAAAUAUCAAAGCAACCCCAACAACACUAAUUGUGUACAAUUCAUACAUCAACUAAACUUUAUAAAUUCAUAAGAAAAGUAUAAUAAAGAAAAAAAAAAAAUCUACCAUCUUAAUUUUGUGUGAUGGUAAUAAUAGAUGCACUUGUUUGAUUAAAUUUUGAAACUCAAACUAAGUUUAAUGAGUAUACAAGAAUCAAUAUGAGUGGGUAGGCUCUAUGGAUAUUAAUGCAAAGGCUCACAAUUGGAAGUACAUUUGUCUUUUAAAAAAAACAAAACAAAACAAAACAAGAUAUAAUUUAAAUUUAUGGUUACACUUUGCAAUCAAAAAAACUUUUGUUAGAGUUUGCAUACUUCUAAGAAACUAUUGUAAAAGCAUCCUAUAACUUAGAUAUUUGGUGUAAAAGUCAUAUAAUCAAUAAUAAUCUUUCAAGUGGCCUUAAUAAUAAAUUAAGACCACUAUUAUAGAAAUAUAUUAAAAUUUGAUUCAAUAAAAUGUCUCAUAAAAAUUUUAAAAUAUCAUUCUGGUUUCAUUAUUUGCUAGAUUGUUUGUGUAUUUAUUUUUAAAAAAAAACAUGGAUAUUCCUUAACAAUAAUUUAUUAGCCGCUGCAUAUAUUAAAAUAAUUCAUAAAGAUGACAAGUUUGUUUAAUUUGUUUCUAAUGGCAUCAAAAUGCCAAAUAAUGGAUUUAACAAUACCACAUUACAAAAACUUAGCAACAAAUGUUGCAUAUAACUUACAAAACAAAUAUCGUGGUUAAUCUAUAAGAAAUAUGAUAAAGAAAGCAAAUAUCAAAGCAACCACAAUAACACUAAUUGUGUACAAUUCAUACAUCAACUAAACUUUAUAAAUUCAUAAGAAAAGUAUAAUAAAGAAAAAAAAAAAUCUACCAUCUUAAUUUUGUGUGAUGGUAAUAAUAGAUGCACUUGUUUGAUUAAAUUUUGAAACUCAAACUAAUUUUAAUGAGUAUACAAUUUGCAAUUCUCUUAAAACCAUUCUUGUGUUUUUUUCUCCUUAAUUUUUGUGUUCUUUUGUCAAAGCAUCACAACUUGGUGUACGGAAUAAAAACUCUAAUAAUAUCAAUGGAAUAUUUUUAAUUUUUUUGAUAUAAUAUAACUAUAUAUAUAUAUAUAUAUAUAUAUAUAUAUAUAGGUAUGUGUAUGAAUGUCUAUAUGUAUAUAUAUGAAUUGAAUAUAUUUUAAUUAGAUGAUAUCAUUUUUUUCAUUAAAUACCUCCAAUAACUUAAAUAUUGGAGUUCAUACAAAUUUUAUAAAAAACUUUAAGACUAAGUUUAAAAUCAAUUUACACAUAUGCUAAAUUUAUAGUUAAGAUUAUUUUAACAAUCAAGCUUAAAAAUUCAAGCUCUUUUAAGUAAAAGUAAUAAAAUUGAUUUAUAAUCUUUUAUUUUUAGCACAAUGAGACUAAUAUGUUAUUGUUAAUAUAACAUUAAAAAACUUAAACAAUGGCCCUAUGUAUAAGAAAAAUUUAGAUAGAAAGAAUUCAAAUAGGAAAUAUAAUUUCUUUAUUUUCAUUUCUUCUUAAUAAUAAAAGUCUAAAAAAUUUGUAACUUUAAAAUUCUUAAGUAAUAAUAAAUUUGAUUUCUAUUUAUAAAUUUAAGAUAUUGAUAUUCUAUUUCAUUAUGUAUAGAUGUUCAAUAAAUAAAAUUAUAAGCAUCUUUUGAACUCUCAUAUGUAUUUGUAUUAUUUUUAUAAUUCUUAAGAAACAUCUUAAAUCUUUUAAAACCUUCUAAAAGACAUUUAAAAAAGUCAAUUUUUUAUAAGACUUUCAUACCUUUCUAAAAACUUUAUAUGAAUCAACUAUGACUUCUUAAAAGUUCAUAUAGUUAUUUGAGAUCUAUUUUUUUCUUUUAGCGAAUUUUGUAGAAAAAGUAAUAUAUGCUUAUAAAAGCAUUUGUAGCAUUCAAAAUCUCAUCAAAAAGUAUCUUUAGAAACUAAAAGUUUAAUAUACAUAGUUAAGUAAAAUAAAAACAAAUAAAUAAAUAAAAAAUCUGGAAUCUUAUAUAAAUAAGUUUUAGAGUAAUUUAAAUAUUAGCAUGUUUCUAAUUUUUUAUUAAGUCUUAGUUCUACUUUAAAAUCUUAUCUAUGUUACUUGUUAUCUUCUCAUAGAUACAUGUGUUAGUUAAGUAAGUUAAAUAAACAGAAAUAAAUAAAUCUGAAAUAUGUAGAUAUGAUCUUUCAAUAAAAAUAUGAAAAGAACAAGAAUAAAUUAAAUUUGUGGAUAUAUUUUGCAAUCAAAGAAAAUUAUGUUAGAAUUUACUUAGUUCUAAGAAUCUAUUGUAAAAGCAUUCUAUAAGGCUAUUGUAACAAGCAUCCCAUAGGUCACAAGAUUAUAAGGCUUAGAUACCAAAUUUAAUUUAGUGACUUAUCUUGUAAUACUUUUAAAAAAUAUUAUGUUGGUAUGAUUUUUUGUUUUUUUGUUUUUUAUUUUAUAAUAAUAAUAAUAAUAAUGAUUAUUAUUAUAGAUAUCUCUUUAUAUUAAAAGUUUAGAAAAAAAAAAGAUUUAUUUUAUUCAUAAAGAUGUCAAGCUUGUUAAAUUUAUUUAUGGACGUACCAAGUUUGUUACUAUUGGGUUUAAUAAUACUUUAAAGAAUUAUACAAAAUCAGGACUUGUAUUGGGAAUUUGGAAUAUAAACAAUCUCAUGCCAUUUCAAUGAUGCAAAUAGCAGAUGUCUAAACAUAUUUGUAAGGAGGUAUUGAAUAAUGCCAAUUUGAAGUUGUUUAUGAUUUUUGUAAUAUCUACAAAUCUACAAGUUGGAACAAUGUGAGUUUGGUACACAAUCAAAGGACUUUGAAGAUCAAAUUUUUAGUAGAAGUUACUAGUUAAAGAAAGAAGGUUAUUGUUGGAACAUCUCUAUUAACUUUCAAGUUGGUGGUUGAGUGAAAUAGGUGGGAUUGUUAUGGUAUUUUUUUUACAAUUUGUAAGUUAAAUUGAAUUGAAUUUUUAUAAGUAUAUAGAGAGCUUAUAAUAGCAUUAUCAAAAAUAAAAAUAAAAAACAAAAUAUACCAAUUAGGUAGUUAAAUUUGGACUUAGAUCUUAAUUAAGCUUGCUAAGCAAGAUUAAGAUUUGUAAGAAAAGAUUGAAAUAGUAAAAUAAUUGAAUCAAUAAGAAAAUUAAUAUUUAUACAUGAUUGAGAUUGUAAAGAAGAGUUUCUUUUAGCUCUUUAUAUAUUUUAAAUUUUAAAUUAGAUUAUAUUAUGAUUUAUUGGCCAAAAAUUAUUCAUAUUUAUCAUUAAUUGUAAUAUAAAACUUUAUUUUCUACAACUAGAAGUAUGAUGCAUAUCUACAUAGACAACAUAUAAUACAACAAUGUUGUCAAAUUCUACCAUAUUUGCCUUAUGCAAAAGUUGGUGAAAACUAAAAAGUUAAAUGAUAAUUUAGGUACAAGUAUAAUAGGUAUUUCUAAAUUUUGUGUAGAUAAUGAAAGUAGUUUAGCAAAAAGUAAAAUAUCAUAGUAAUUUUCAUACCAAUGGUAAGAUUAAUAUUUAAGAAGUAAUUUUUUUUAAGAAAAGAUCAAAAUUAGACUCUAACAUACAAACUCAAAGACCUAAAAUGAAUAGAGAAUGUAUUUUAAUUGAUUAUAAUUUAUCCAAUCAAUUUAUUGAUUUCUUCUUUUUUACAUCCACAAAUUCAAUAGUAUAAACAUUCAAAUUUACCUUCACCAAAAAUAUAUAAAUUCUUCUAUAACUAAGUAAUUGAAUUCUUUUUGUUGAUAUAUGAAGUAUAUAAUAGUAUCUUAAGAUCUAUUACAAAAUCAACAAUAAAAACUUAUCAUAUCUAAUACUACAACAUCAAUAUCAAUUCUUUCAACAAUUGUUGAUGGAUAAUAUGGUUGAACCAUAAAACUUUAUAUAUGAAAUUUAAAAAAUAUUCAUUUUAUAUUAAUUACUACAAUUCUAAUGGAAGAAAAACAUGUACAUCUUAAGAGCAAUUUUAACAUCCUCAUGCAAUCUCAUGUCAAUCAUUCUUCUUAUUGUUUUGUUUGCUUGAAUUAAUUUGAUUUGAUUUGAUUUGAUUUGAGAUAAGAUGAUUUUACUUUUUUAUUCUUUUUCCAAAUGACCUUCCAAUAGAACUAAGAGAAUGUUUUGUAGUGUGGUUGAUUUAAGAUGCCAACUAUGUUGUGAAGGAUGUGGCACACCAUUGGCAUUGAAAGUGCAGAAAUAUAGAUGAAAGAGGGUAUGUGGAUGUGUUGGCUUGCAAUUAAGGAUGCAAAACAUAAUGUGGAUACAAAAGCUUGCAAUCAAGGUGUUGAAUGUGUGUAAGUGGGAGUUGGGUGUUCCUUAAGUGUAGGAAAACACAAUGUUUUGGAGGGGGCAAGGAUUGAGGGGUGUUGAGGCAAUAGGGGUAUUUUCUUAUGUG
rnacentral:lncRNA from 1 species